rnacentral:lncRNA from 1 species
GAGUAAAGACUUUGAACUAGAUAUUUUAGUCGACUGCCACUAAAGACUAAGAUUGGGAUUAUAAAACUUUAAUAUUCCUAUUAUAAACCAUGCUUGUUUUUAGAGUAACUUGUCAAGGAAAUGUAAAGACUUAAUCUGAGGGGUAUAAAUGUUUAAUUACUAAGGAAUUAGGAUUAAACAAUCUAGUAAAUGAGUAAUAACAUAUAGUGGUGAUGUAAAUUGAUAAAGUAAAAAUAAGAGUAUAAGAGGAAGUCCAAAAUUAGCAUCAUCCUUAACAUAAUUUUUAGGAUUAAAUAUACGAUACCCCCUGCAAUAUAAGCGAGAUUCGUUUUACACUCUUGUAAAAUAUUUUUUUUAUUCCCCCCAUAUAGGAGUGGAUAAUGAGCCAAGUCAGGUGAUUUCGGGUCCAAAAUACCAAUUCAUUUUAAUCUGCGGGUGGGUUUUCAAGACCCAAUUUUGUCCAUUGAUAUUUACGGUUUGACCAAGUUACAGACUAAUAAGUUUACGGGUUAAACAAAUGAUUUCAUGUGAGUACCUUCUCAAAACAUUUCAUGAAGAAUAUAUAUAUAUAUAUAUAUAUAUAUAUAUAUAUAUAUAUAUAUAUAUAUANNNNNNNNNNNNNNNNNNNNNNNNNNNNNNNNNNNNNNNNNNNNNNNNNNNNNNNNNNNNNNNNNNNNNNNNNNNNNNNNNNNNNNNNNNNNNNNNNNNNNNNNNNNNNNNNNNNNNNNNNNNNNNNNNNNNNNNNNNNNNNNNNNNNNNNNNNNNNNNNNNNNNNNNNNNNNNNNNNNNNNNNNNNNNNNNNNNNNNNNNNNNNNNNNNNNNNNNNNNNNNNNNNNNNNNNNNNNNNNNNNNNNNNNNNNNNNNNNNNNNNNNNNNNNNNNNNNNNNNNNNNNNNNNNNNNNNNNNNNNNNNNNNNNNNNNNNNNNNNNNNNNNNNNNNNNNNNNNNNNNNNNNNNNNNNNNNNNNNNNNNNNNNNNNNNNNNNNNNNNNNNNNNNNNNNNNNNNNNNNNNNNNNNNNNNNNNNNNNNNNNNNNNNNNNNNNNNNNNNNNNNNNNNNNNNNNNNNNNNNNNNNNNNNNNNNNNNNNNNNNNNNNNNNNNNNNNNNNNNNNNNNNNNNNNNNNNNNNNNNNNNNNNNNNNNNNNNNNNNNNNNNNNNNNNNNNNNNNNNNNNNNNNNNNNNNNNNNNNNNNNNNNNNNNNNNNNNNNNNNNNNNNNNNNNNNNNNNNNNNNNNNNNNNNNNNNNNNNNNNNNNNNNNNNNNNNNNNNNNNNNNNNNNNNNNNNNNNNNNNNNNNNNNNNNNNNNNNNNNNNNNNNNNNNNNNNNNNNNNNNNNNNNNNNNNNNNNNNNNNNNNNNNNNNNNNNNNNNNNNNNNNNNNNNNNNNNNNNNNNNNNNNNNNNNNNNNNNNNNNNNNNNNNNNNNNNNAUAUAUAUAUAUAUAUAUAUAUAUAUAUAUAGUUUAGGUUAAGACGGAAAAAUUGAUAAACAAUAUAAUUUUUUUUAGAUCUCUAACAUGAAAAUAUCAACACAAGAGUGAAAAUUUGAAAAAGAGAUUUAUCAAGAAAUAAAAAAAGAAGACGAUGAAGAUGCAAAAGAAGAACAAAGUAAAAGGUAAAAGAGUAUUCUGAAGCGGAGAAGAAGUCCAAAAAUCUCAAAAGAUAAGUACAAUAGAAAGUAGAGAAGUAUUAUGAAAUUUGAGAUCUAAACUUCAAAUUUUCGGAUAAAACAUUAUUGUUCUUCUGAGAGAUAUCUUCUUUUUAGUCAAACUACUAUUCUUUAGUGUAUGACCCAUUAUAGGUGGUGGCUUCAUCAUUCAUUGAUCUUGUCUUUCUAUUUUCUCAUUUUCCAAAAAUAAAAAGAAAUGCCAUAACAUGUAAUACUAUCUCCGUUUUUUAUUAUAAGUCGCUUUGAAAAAAUAUUUUGUACCACAAUAUAAGUCGUUUUAUAAUAUCAAUGAAUUAUUAAUGUUAUUUUUCCUAUUAUACCAUUAAGUAUUUAUUAUUCUCUCUCCUUUCAACUAUAACAAUUUAUCUUUUCAAUAUAAUUAGUAAAUGACAAUUUUAUAAAACCCUUCAUAAUUUCUCCUUUUUAUACUACAAUUAUUACAUUUCUUAAUACGUGUGAAAAGUCAAAAACAAUUUAUAAUAAAAAACAGAGGGAGUAUUAGUUUGCAACGAGAGAUAAGGUAAAAAAUUAGAAUGUAUAAAAAUAAGAAAUAAAAAAUAGUUGUGUUUCCAAGGAGAGAGAGACGCGAUGUUUUGGUUUUCAAAUAACUAAGUUCAAAGCAUUUAUUUCCAAUAAAUCAUAUAAAGAAUAAAUAUAAGUCUAUAAUAUAGGUAUUAUCAUUUCCAACCAUGUGUUUUUCACCCACAAGGAUAUCUAUUCUUUUAUCAUAGUUUUAUUAGAAGUAAUUCAUAUUUAGUUGUACUAUUUUCUUAGUCCCUAAGUUUGUUAGAGGGUAUUUUAGUAUUUUAUCCUAUUCUAGUAACCCUAGUUUUAGCUUAUAAAUAGGGUGGCUGUAACACCCCGAUAAUAAUAUGGUAAUUAUUUAAAUUAAGUUAAUAAUAUAUUUAUUAAUUUAAUUAGAUAAUUGGAUUAUUAUUAUUAUUAUUUUGGAAUUAUUGAAUUAUCAUUAUUAUUGGAAUAAUAAUAUAAUUUGGAAAAUAUAUAAGUUGGAAUAAGUAAAAAGAGUUCAUUUUUUGGAAAAUAAGGUUUUCACGUGAAACUCAGAGAAGCGAUCGAGAAAGGGAAAAAGGCAAGAGGAAGAGCUAGAGAGCAAGGUUGGAGAACGAAAACUUGAAGCUCAAAGUGCGGAUUAACCAGUAAGGGGUAUCGUCGUUUAAUGGUAUUAUGGGUUAGCAUGUAAUUGGUUAGUAUAAACCGUUGAAUUGACCUAAUUGGGAUGUUGAAUGCUGAAAAUUGUGAUGAUGUUGUGCAAAAACUGAAAUUGAACCUGUAAUUGAGUGUGUUGUAAUUUCCCUAAAGUGUAGCUUUUACGAAUUGGAAUCGGAGGUCCGGAAGUCCUCCAAAUGGCGAAAAAUGCGGAGAAUUCUGCAUUCUGCCUUGAGUUAGCGCAGGAAAGCUUCUGUCUUGGUUAACCGGUAACCAGGUGUUACACCGGUUAACACUGUUUUGAAUUAUGAAAAUUUGCUGUUUUGUCUGCGUUAACCGGUUACCCGGGUGUUACCGUUAACACUGUUGUGAUUGCUGAAAUAUUGCUGUUUUGUGCGCGUUACCGGUUAACCCAGGCGUUAACCGGUUAACACUGUUAAGUUUUGGGACAGAGGCGUGUUGUGCUGCGUUAACGGUUGUUAACCCAGGGCGUUAACCGGUUAACACUGUUCAGAGAGGAAAAGUUGACUUUUUAAUAUUAUGUACACAAUUGAGGUUAAGGCUAUGUUGGCGUAUGAUGUAAUAGGGAUUAAUUCCCGCUAUUUUUGAGCAGUAUAGGUAUUAGUAGAGUGUGCUAAUACUGUGGUUGAUUAUUUAACUGAUAGGAUGUUUUGAUACAUGUGUUGAUGAUGGUGAUAGUAUGCAUAAUGUUGUGAAUGUACAUUUAUGUAUGCAAUUGUGAAUGAACUGUAUAGGUUAGAGUGUGAGCCUAAUGUCAUUGUGGAUUUUGUUGUUGAUGUUGCAUUGCUAGAUGAUUUGCAUGCAUAUUGUGGCCUUAGGGUGGUAGCUAAUUCCAUGGUGAGAAUUAGUGAGUUAGUCAUUUUGGACUGUUGUUGAUGUUUGCAUGCUAGUGAUUAGCGUGCAUAGCAAUGGCCAUUGGGUGGUAGCUAUUCCCAUGGUGAGGAAUUAGUGAGUGAGUCACUAGGUCUCAAAUGAGUGGACUAGUGGGCUUGGUACCGUGCCUGGAUUUGGACGGUGAGGUGAACUAUAUGUUCACAAAGAGUCGGUACCGCAUGCAUGGAGUCUCAUUGCAUAAUUGAUGUAUGGCGUAUAAUAUGAAUGGAUGUAUUAAGUAUAUACGUGUGUUGUGUGUGUGUUGAUGUUGAGUAUGAUUGAGUUGAUAGUGUUAGAACGUGUAACUGAUUGGGUAUGAAACGUGUUAUUUACUUAGCAUUACAUGAUGUUUUAUAAUGCUUGUUAUAUCGAUGAGGAACUCACCUUACAACUAUUUCAGGUAACGAGCAGUGAGUUGAGUAGAAGCUAAUGCUUGGAGUCUAGUGUAGUCUCCUUAGUGGGUCAUGCUCGUAUAGAUGUACCAUCGGAGGGAACCUUUAAUUAUGUUGUUAAUGUUGUUGAACCAGUUUACAUGUAGUAUGUUACAUGUUUUGAUUGAUUUGAUUUAUAUCCGCUGCGAUUUAUGCAAAUGUUUAAUUGAUAAAUAAAGAGCAUGACAGUUAUUUUGGAACAUGGUGUGAAUGAUGUGUGACACCUUAACUGCAUAAUUACUUCUGAUAAUGUUUAUUAUUUUAAUUAAAUAAUGGGGUAUUUUAGAAGGGUGUUACAGUGGCAAUCAUUGUAACUUUCAUGUUUUGUAGUCGUCAUUCUUAAUAGAAAUUCCAUUCAUCUCACCUUUGCACCAACAAUUGGUAUCUAGAGUCCGGUUCGGAUUCAUUAGGGAAACACGGGAAACACGAGUGACGUGAGGUCUUGUGUGUUUGAUUUUGAUCUUAGAUUCGUGUUGAAUCUUGAACAAAAUCUGAUCAGAAUUUUAAUUCUGUGGUUGGGAAACACUGUGAGAAUCUGAGUGACUGUGCAAGUAGAAAGUUGAACGGAAACGGCAACAUGAACACCAAACUUCCAAUAUUGACGGUAAAAACUGGAAUCGUUGGAUGAUCCAAAUGCGUGUAUUGUUCGGUGCUCAAGAUGUUCUAGAUCUUGUCACUGAUGGUUAUGUCCCGGUAGCAGCAGAUGCGACGGAUGAACAGAAAAACGCGCAGAAGGAAGUAAGGAAGAAGGAUCAGAAAGCAUUUGUUCUUAUUCAUCAAUGUGUUGAUGUAAAUGUGUUGAGAAGAUUGCAGAUUCAACGACAGCAAAGGCUGUGUGGGACACACUGGUUAGAUUUAUGGUGGUGACGCAUCAGUGAAGAAGGUGAAACUUCAUCCUUGAGAAAGCAAUAUGAGAAUCUCAACAUGAAGAAUAAUGAGAAAGUUUCUGAAUACAUCUCCAGAGUGAUUCUGAUCACUAUGAGAUGAAAGCGUGUGGAGAACUCUUUCUGAAGAAACAAUCAUGGAGAAGGUAUUGAGAUCCUUACCUCUCAAUUUGAUUACAUUGUGUAGCAAUAGAAUAUUCCAAAGAUCUGAGCACCAUGAGAAUUGAAGAGUUGCAGAGCAGUCUAGAAGCGCAAGAGUUGCGUUUGACUGAGAGAACUUCUGAAAGGAAGUAGAGCAGCAGCUCUGAAAGCAACUUCUGAUAGGAGUUAUCAAAAACAGUCAGAAGCCAGGAGAAGAUCUGAUGGUGGUCAGAAGUCAGAAAGCUCACUCUGAUAGACAAAAGAGCUCAGAAGGAAAAGAGAGUAUGACAAGAAGAAAAUCCAAUUUUACUGUUGUAAGAAGUUUGGUCACUGUGCUAGAGACUGUUGGUCAAACAAGGAGAGAAAAUCAGAAGAAGCAAAUAUGCCCGAAGUUCUGAUGACGAAUCUGUGCUAUUGAUGGCCUCUGAAUCUGAUGAAUAUGGAUCUGAUAAGACUGGUGGUAUAUGGACACUGGCUGUUCAAAUCAUCUACUGGAUAAGAAAUGGCUGGUUGAUUUGACUCUGAAAAGAGGACAAAGAUCAGAUGUGCUGAUGACAAAUAUCUUAAUGUAGAAGGUAUGGAAAUGUCAGAGUGAUUCUGAACAAUGGGAAAACAGCAUUGAUUCAGAACGUGUGGUAUGUACCUGCAUCAGAAGCAAUCUGAUGAGUGUGGGACAAUUAAUGAGAAAGGUUUUUCAGUUACCAUGAAGGACAAUCUUCUGAAGCUGUAUGACUGCAAUCAGAAGUUGAUUAUGGAGUCAAACAGGGAAGGAAUAGAACAUCAAGGUGAAUGUCAGAACUGCAAACUCAGAAUGUCUUAGUGCAACAAGUGCUGAGAAGGAGAGUGAGUUGUGGCACAGAAAUUUGGCAUUUGAAUUUCAGAAGCUUAAAACAUCUGAAUUCAAAGAAGUUGGUACAUGAAUUCCUGCAAUUAAGAAGCCUGAAAAUUCAUGCAAAGUUUGCAUGGAAGGAAACAACCCGAUUGCCAUUUGCGUCAGAAACUGCUCCAAGAGCAAAACUGCCUUGUGAGUUGUACAUUCUGAUGUGUUGGUCCAUUUCCAGUAGCAUCGAUUGGAGGGAAUAAUUACUUUGGUAUUUGUUGAUGAAUACAAGAAUGACAUGGGUAUCCUUAUUAAGUUUAAACACUAGUGUUUGAUGAAUUCAAGAAGUUCAGAAUGAAGCUGAGAAUCAGAGUGGUCAGAAGUUGAAGAUUCUUAGAACUGACGGUGGAGUGAGUAUACUCCAAAGAGUUCAGAAGUUCUGUGAGGAGAAUGGAAUUGAGCAUGAGGUUACUGCUCCUUAUACCCCUCAACACAAUAGUCUUGCUGAAGAAGAAACCGCACUUUGCUUGAUAUGGUGAGAAGCAUGCUAAAGGAGAAGAACUUCCUCAGAAGCUCUAGGAGAAGCUAUUGCACUGCAAGCAUAUGUACUCAACCGAUGUCCUACGAAGAAGUUGAAGGAAAUAGUUCCAAUACAGAAGUGGACUGGAGAUAAGCAAAGUGUUAGUCAUCUGAAGGUGUUUGGUUCUGUUUGCUAUAAACAUGUUCCAGAAGCCAGAAGACAGAGCUGGAUGAUAGAAGCAAAGUGAUGAUUCUGAUAGGGUACCACAAUACAGUGCAUACAAGCUCUAUUGUCCAGAAACCAACAAAAUUGAAUUCAGCAGAGAUGUGAUUGUGAAGGAAUCAGAAAUUUGGAAUUGGGAUAAGUCUCAAUCUGAUUCUGAUGUUAAACUUCUGAAGAAAGUCAGAGUUAAGAAUUUCUGAAGUUGGAGUAAACUCUGACGUUGAUUUCUGAUUCUGAUAGUGAUUCUGACUCUGGAGAAGACUCAGAAAUGAAGGUGACUCUGAUGAUCCAGACUUGAUGACCCAGACUCCUGAUGGUAAUCCAGAUUCUGGUGCAAUUCAGACUCUGGAAAUAUGCCAGCCCUGAAGAUGGUCAAAGCUUUGGAGGAAGUCAACCAUCUGAAGCUAGAAACUCUGAAGCUCAAGACUCUGAACAGUUCAGAGACCACAAAGAAUCAGAAACAUCCCCAGAAGAUAUGCAGAAUUUGACAUGCUGCAAGACACUGAAGUAGACUCUGAAGGAGAAGUUUAGUGUGCCAUGUUAGUAGACUCUGAACCUAUAAGUACAGAAGAGGCUCUUAAGCAGAAGCUCUGGCUGAAGGCCAUGAAAGAAGAACUUGAUGCUAUAGAGAGAACAAACUUGGAAGCUGACAGAACUUCCAAAAGACAAGAAAGCCAUAGCGUCAGAUGGUUUUCAAGCAGAAGUUAAAGCCAGAUGGUUCAAUUGGCAAAAUAAAGCAAGGUUGGUAGCCGAGGAUUUCUACAGAAACCUGGGCUGGAUUACUCUGAAGUGUUUGCACCUGUAGCAAGACAUGAACAAUCAGAUGAUGAUUGCAAUAGCUGCUAACAGGAAUUGGCUCUGAUGCAUUUAGAUGUAAAAUCUGCAUUCUGAACGGUCCAUUAGAAAAAGAAGUUUACGUGUCACAACUCCUGGAUUUGUGAAAAAAGAAUCAGGAAGGGAUGGUGUAAAAUUAUACAAAGCUCUAUAUGGAUUGAAACAAGCGCCCAGAGCUUGGAAUCAGAGAUUGAUUCAUUUUCAAGAAGCAAGGUUUUCAGAAAUGUGAGAUGGAGUACGUGUGUCUAUGUUCAGUAUACUUCUGAAGGAAAUAUGACUCUGGUAUGUUUAUAUGUUGAUGAUUACUGCUGACUGGAAGUUCUGAACAGGAUAGCCAAGUUCAAGAAGUUUCUGAUGAAUGAAUUCGAAAUGACUGAUCUAGGCAAAAUGAACAUACUUUCUAGGGAUGGAGUUCAGAUACUCUGAGAAAGGUAUUAUUUGCAUCAGCUCAAGUAUGAAUUGAACUUCUGAAGAGAUUUGAACUGAGAAUUGUAAGAUUGCUGUCACACCUUCUGAUCAAUUAGAAACUGGAUUCUGACUCUGAUGGAAAGGAUGUGGACGCUACAACCUUCAAACAGUUGGUUGGUUCUCUGAGGUAUUUGUGCAAUACCAGACCUGAUAUUUGCUAUUCAGUUGGGAUGGUUAGUAGGUUCAUGAGUAAACCUAAGUGGUCCCAUUACCAAGCUGCUGUCAGGAUUCUGAGGUAUAUCAAGGAACUCUGAAGUAUGGAGUAUUAUUUCCUUCUGGAAGAAAGGAUGAGUCAGAACUUCUGAGUUAUUCAGAUUCUGAUUGGUGUGGAGACAGGAUUGACAGAAGAAGUAGUCGGGUACUUAUUCAAAUUUCUGGGAGUCCAUUUCUUGGUGUUCCAAGAAGCAACCUGUUGUGGCGUUGUCAACUUGUGAAGCUGAAUACAUUGCAGGUGCUGUUACUGCAUGCCAAGCUGUGUGGAUUCUGAAUCUAUUGCAGGAUCUGAAGAUUAAAGUAAACAAACCUCUGAAGCUGAUGAUUGACAACAAGUCUUGCAAUCAAUCUUGCCAGAAACCCAGUGUUGCAUGGGAGAAGCAAGCACAUUGAGACCAAGUAUCAUUUUCUGAGACAUCAAGUUCAGAGGGGAGUGUUAGAAGUUGUACACUGCAGCACUCAGAAACAGUUGCAGAUUCUGACGAAGCUAUCAAGACUGAUCAAUUUCUCAGAUUAAGGAUGAAAUUGGUGUUACAAGUUUUGAUGGAAUAUGAAUUAAGGGAUGGUAUUAGAAGUAAUUCAUAUUUAGUUGUACUAUUUCUUAGCCCCUAAGUUUGUUAGAGGGUAUUUUAGUAUUUUAUCUCUAUUCUAGUAACCCUAGUUUUAGCUUAUAAAUAGGGUGGCAAUCAUUGUAACUUUUAUCAUGUUUUGUAGCCGUCAUUCUUAAUAGAAUAUUUCCAUUCAUUCUACCUUUGCACCAACAAGUUUCACUCACAUUUUAAUUCACAGUCUCACUCACACAAGUACUCUUCAAUAAAGACUUUAGUUAAUUUUCUGGGAGGAUUCGGUUACAUGUGGGUGGCUUUUGUGAAACCGACCCGGGCUGCAAAUAUUUGUCCACCCUACCCCUUCUUAAUAUGAAGAUUCUCUGUCUAUGCCCCUUGUGCGCAUUAUUUCGGCCCAAAUUCCAUUUAUUAGUGAUUUGGCAGUACAAGUGGACAUUUAUUUAAUUUUUUAUUUAUAAUUUAAAAUACACGUGAAUUUUUUUAUUUAAUUUUUUUUUUACUUUAUUGUAUUAAUUUUUAUAUACUUUUUCUUAAAUUAUUUUUAUUAAUAUUUUUUUAUGAAAAUCUAUUUAUAAAUUAAUUAUUAAAGCAUUACUUUAGAACCUAAAGCCCAAUGAUCUUUUCCAAAGCCCAAUACUUGAAGAUUUGAAAUGUAUUGUGUAAAAGAGGUUAUAAACACUUCCAUUUGGUGAAAAAUUUUUGAUGACUAUAAAUACUUUCAUAUAUGCAUUCUUAUUUAGUUUAUAACUUUGUAUUUUAUUUGUGUGUUGCAACACACCGUUAACUCUACCAAUGACUAUUCCAGCAGACCUUGCAAUUGAGGACAUGUUUUGCUUCCAAAACGUAUUCAAAUACUACUAAAUUUUUCAUAAUUUUUUUUCCAAGUACAUGAAAAUCUAACUCAAGUAUUCAUGCAGGAUCCAAUACUAACAUCAUUGCUUAAGCUGAAUAGCAAUUUGGCAAGCAGGGCAAUAAAAUUGUUCCAGAUGGGUGUUUGACGAUAUAUGGACAUUGAUUCAUGACACAUGAUUCAUUUUUUUUAGCAAAGACAGUGGAAGACAUCUAUCAGAAUACAUCAGAAUACAUCGGAGGAUAUCUAUCAGACAUAAUAGUAUCUAACAUAACACUUUUUUUUAGCUAUUCUUGGUUGCAAAUGGAAGAAGAAGAUGUAGCCACCAUGAACAAUAAAGCAUACAAUAAAGUUCAUAUACAAAUAUCUAUCUGCUAGAAACUACAAAUGCAUGAAUUGAAAUAAUACUUUAUGAGUCUUAAAUUUUCUACUAGUGACUUAAAUUUUCCUACUAAUGUUGCUGAGACAGACAAGAGUUUUGAUACAACAAUGGUCGCAUGUCAUUUUACAAAAGAAGAGGCAUUGGCAUUGUCAUCUCUAGUACCAGUUGCUAAUACACACGCACCUUCUCCUAACAAUGCUGCGUCGUGAUUGUUGCAAAUGGAGCUUUUGGUUUUGUUGGUACACAUUCAUGAUGAUGAUCAUUUUGAUUCAUUUUAUUUUUAUUGAUUAUCAUUACUAAUCUAGUCUUACUGUUUGCAUAACAUGUCUCAAACUUUUAAUAAUGAGUAACAUAGAUGGCACUAUAGAAAGAGUAAGAUAGAUGGUACUAUAGAAGAGUACUAUAGGUGCACCUAGUAGUGCACCAAUAUCCUUAUUUUACCUUCCAGUGGAUAGAAGAUCAUCCUUGUAGAAGUUCAUUUAGUUUUAGAACAUGAUGAUAUCAGUAAGUAUUUCACCCUAUAGUUGCUUCGUAUCCUUGUUUUACUAAUGACCCCCAUAAAAAAAAUGAAGGUUUAGGUCUGCCUCAGUUCAAACAUGAAACUUUAAAAUGUAGUAGUAACUACAAAGCUGAUGAUACAAAACAACAUGAUUUGUGUUUUAGUUUUCUUUAGAUUUUCAACUUCACCGACAAUAGAGUCCCACAUCGAAUAUUCAAUAAUAAAGACGCCUGUUUAUAAACCUUUCUCACACUAUACAUAAUGAAUUUAAAGUAUCGGGAUGCUACGGAAAAGAAGGUGGUUUUUAUAAAAUAAUUAAAAAUCCAGGUGGAUUUAAAUAAUAAUAAUAAUAAUAAUAAAAUGCCACAUGGAUUAUAAAAAUAAUAAUUAAAUAACACAUAUACAAGCAAAGUCAGCAAAUAGUGCGUCCAGAUGCCAUAGACAACGAAUCUUCACAUUACAAGGGGAAUCAAAAAAGUUCUUUUAUUACUUAAAACAAUUUGGUACACUUGCCAAAUCAACCACUAGUACUAAAUUAUUCUUGUGAUCAUAUCAGUAUUGAAAUGGGUGAUACUAGACGAGGGACCUAAAUGUUUAAUUGUUUAUAUGACUUCCCUUAAAGAAGUCGUAAGAGAAAUUUGGUGGAUUUAAUUCGUUCAUCGCCAAAUCAACCACUAGCUACUAAAUUAUUCUUGUGAUCAUAUCAGUAUUGAAAUGGGUGAUACUAGACGAGGGACCUAAAUGUUUAAUUGUUUAUAUGACUUCCCUUAAAGAAGUCGUAAGAGAAAUUUGUUGGAUUUAAUUCGUCAUCUUUUAGGGUAACGCUACUUUACCAUAAUGUAUUUUGGAAGGGUUUAACGAUAUCCUUUUAUUUGAGGAGAAAAAUGGAUAAUUGAACAACCCAAUGGGUUAGUCAACGGUUUUUGACAAGUAGUUUUCGGAUGUGGGUUUGGUAAAUAUCCUUAGGGAGAGAUAUUUUUUUACUUGAUUUAAGAGUCUAAGUUCAUAUAUGGAAGUUGAAGAAAAUGUUGAUUGGUCACUAGCUAAUAGUAAUUGGUGUCUUAUUUUUUAUGAAGUGAAGGUAUAAUUUUUAACAACUACCUCGUUAGGUCAUUAUCCCAUUCUACUUAGUUGUGAAGUGAGUCCGAGAAGUACUAGACCCUGUAUUAAAUUCAAAUUUGAAAAUAUAUGGUUGACUGAGCUAAGAUUUAGUGUGUUUGUAAAUGAACAAUAGAAUAAAUACGAGGACAACAACAUUAUGGGUAAGCUUGAAAUCUACAUAGAGGUUAUAUCAAAGUGGGGUAAAUACAAUUGUCACAAAAUAAGAAGAGAAAUUGAGAAAUUUAGAAGGAAUAAUGAAAGAGUUUGUUUGCAUGUUGAUGCAUAAAAUAUAAAUUAUUUCACAACCAUUAAAAGACACAUGAAUUCUCUUAUUGUUUGAGAUCAAUUAUUUUUGAAACAAAGAGUUAAGGCACACUUGUAAAAAUAUGGUGAUCUUAAUACUUGGUUCUACUGUGUUGCAUUGACCUCUAAAAGGAAAGUAACCAAUAUAUUAACAUUGACAUGACUGUGUUGCAUUGACCUCUAAAAGGAAAGUAACCAAUAUAUUAACAUUGACAUGACUAAUGGGAAAAUGCGUACAUCAAUAUAUGAUAUGUGUAUGAUUUCUUGAGAAUAUUUUUAUGGAGCUUUUUAAAAGAAUCCUAACUCAUGGGAGAGAGUUUUCCAUGCUUUAUGGCCCACCAUAUAUAUAUAUAAGGGGGGAUAAGUUGUUGUCCAUAAUGUUCCUUAUUAUAGAAUUUAAAUAUGCCAUAUAUUCUAUAUAGUAGGACAAAAGCAUUAGUCCCUGAUUGUUUAAAUAUAGGCUCCUACCAUCAUUUUUCGCAAUAAAUAUUGAGCGUUCUCAUCUUUUUCACAUCCACAUGUACACCUUCUUAAGUCUGUCAAUAUUAUCCCUUAUUUCUCCAAUUUUUCUUUAGUUGAGAUCAUAUUGUUGGUCAGCUUCCACACAAACAAAAGCACCUUUAGCGGCUUAAUUUUGUUUUAAAUGAGCACUCAGAUUAGUUCAGGAUCAAGUUAGUCUUCAAGGAUCAGAAUGUGGUAUCCACCUUUCACCUAGACCCUCAAACUCCUAACCUAAUCUUAUCAUUUUCAAAUCAUAAAUAUUUUUGUCCUCCAUCAACUAAAAAAUACGAUGAGACUUAGCACAAAGAUUGUCCCCUUCCAACCAAGGGUCCUUCCAAAAAGACAUUUCUUCCCCAUUAUCCAUUGUACAACUCAACCCCACCUCAUCUCUAACUCUAUAUAGAUCCCUCCGCCACACAAACACCAUUCUACCUCCAUCUUUGAUUUAACUUCCUUAUGUCCCAUUUUUCGCUGCUAGAGUUCUAUGCCACAAUCCAUAUCUGUCAACAUGCAAUCUCCAUGACCAUUUUCCUAUUAAGAAUAAAUUAUCUCUCUUACCCUCCAAACCCCCAUCCCACAUACUUAUACAUCUGGGCACAUUUUGUUCCAUAUCUCACAAUCCAUAGUUAGAUUUUUACCUUUCUAUUGUGUUAACCUGUUCUUGGAUCUCUCCAUAUAGGAUUUCCUAACAUGCUUUGAUGAUGACCACCCUGAAUUGGGAGGCUAACAUAAAGAAAUUUAAUCUAACCAAUUUUACAAUUUAGUACCACAUAAGCCACAUUUACACAUGAAUGCACAUCAUUAACUCCAACCAUUAAACCCUUAUGAAAAUUAACUUUCAAGCUCGAGACUAUUUCAAAGAGAAUCAAAAUAUAUUCUAGAGAUCUUAUAUUUUCCUAACUCUUCUCAUACAAAAUCAAAGUAACAUAAAAAAAUUGCAAGCUAGAGAUUAUGAAACUUGAGUUUUUACUUAUUCUAUAACUUAUGAAAAUAUUGGAUUUGACUGAAGCUUUCACUACAAUGUCAGGAUUUAAGGCACGACAAGGAAGAAAAAUUGUGAUAGAGGAUCACUCUGUCUCGUACCUCUCCCGAACACAAAUUCUUUAGUAGAACUAUCGUUAACGAGGACUGGUGUUGAAACGCACUAUGUUCACUCCAUAAUCCCAUGCAUUUAUGUGCUUAAAAGCCCAUAUUUCCUAUCCAAAAAGUUAACCUCGUAUGGUAUUGGCAAUGAAAGGUCUGAACUUGCAUCAAUGGGGAGCAGAAAGUGUCACGAUCAUCAAACGCGAUUCGAAAAAAUAAGGAUUUCUAGAGACAAAAUUAAAAAUCAUUUUAACAUUUACAAUGCAGUAAUAAAGUAGUAAACCAAAUAAAAUCCUAAGUGACAUGCAAUUUAACUGUUAAAUUUCAAAUGUAGGCAACCUGUAUUGCCUCGUUACAUUCCGUUAAACAGACUUAAUGUCAAAGACAAAAAAUAUGGACGGUAAAUAUUAGGAGGACGAUUCUUUGAAGAAAUUUUUUUGAGAGACUAAAAGUGAAAUAAUUUAUAUUUAAAGAGAUCAAAAAUAUAUUUAACUCUAUAAUUUAUAUUAACAAUUAUACCAUCCAUUUUUUAUUAUAAAUUAUUUAAUAAAUUAUUAAUUUUAUUUUUUCUAAUAUACCGUUGAACAUUUAUUAUUUUCAUCCUCUGUUCGAUCUAUUUUUUAAAUUUGCCUUAAUAAAGACAAUUUUCAUACAACAAUGACUAUAAUGAUUAGGUAAUAGUGUACAAAAUUCAAAAUUAAUUGAUUAACAUAAUCAUUAGAGAUGAGAGAUUUGUAAACAAUUUGCUAAGAUCUCUUCUAAUAAAAGUCAAAAUAAAUAUAGACAUUACACACGAUUAAAAGAACUAGUAAUGAAAACGGCAACAAUAUAGCCAAAACGACACUUCCAGUCUGAACUUCACGCAUAGUGCAAUUCCCUGCAAUUUUCCUCCCAAUUUUUCCUUUCUCGCCGAUCGCCAUCGCUGGAGGAAAAAAACCUCAAUUUCCCCCCAACAAUUCCUUCUCAGUUUCCGGUAAGUUCUAUCAAUCUAUGUUACAUUAUUGCCAGAAAUUAGGAAUAAUUUUAAUUUUCUUCAAUUUCUCGCAAGAUUCAUCAAUCAUGAAAUUUAUAAUUCCGUUUAAAUCACUGUGUUUUUAUUUUUACAGUUGGUUGCAGAAUCCAGAUCUGAAAGAACGUGAACCAUUGUUUGCUUUGGGGUUAAACGCAACAUCCUUGAUUUGGGUUUUAAAAACUGUUUCAAGGCAAUUGGGGUCUUGAAUUUUGAUUAAUUUUAUGUAAUGAAGAGUGUUGUGGCUUUGAUUAUUGAGAUUAAUGUAACUGGGUCGAUGUGAGUGGAAAAAGUUUAAGUUUUUAGAAUUGGGUUUUUGAUUUGGGAAUUUAGAGAUUAGGUUUAGUUUGUGAGGGUUUUUUGUUUUGAGUAGGAGUCAUGUUCUAUGGUGCAGUGGUAUGGGAUCCUUGGCUUAUUGUUGCUCAAAUUGUUUGUCUUCAAUGUAUGUAUUAUAUGACCCUUGGAUUGCUCUUAACCGUAUUUGUUGGCACCCGUGUUUCUCGAUUGAGCCUUGUGUAUUUCUUUGACUAUGUUACUGUUUCUACCUCCACCAUUACUGGUUGGUGUGUUGCUGUUUCAUUUCUGCUCAGCUCAGCUGCAGGGUAAUCAUUUUCUUCCACCUUACUCGUUCUACUAGUACUUUUCUUGAUGUUAUAUCCUAUUGCACGGAUUCAUAAUUGUUAUGUACUUGUAUUAAAUCAUGAUAGUCUUUUGUUGUGAUUUUCUGAGGGUGUCUUUGGAAGAGUUUAUUUGAGCUUAUCUCAUCUUAUGACAUUACAUAUGUGUAAGUGUUUGAUUGAAUAUAUUAUAUAUGAAAAGGAAAUUUAUUGUUUUGUUUAGAUUUUCCGAGUGUCUUUGGAAAUCAAUUCUUGUGUUCGGUGUGUUAGAAAAGGAAAUUACUUAUUUUUGAAAUCCAUUGAAUUUUAUUAUUCUGUCAAAUAUGGGUUUGUGAUUAUGUGAUUACCUUGUGUAGUGAAAGGAUUCAAUGGGGGCAUUCUUAGCUGUUAUGCCUAUAUGGCUUGUUAAGGGAAAUUAAGCUGUGUCUAUACGUUGUACUACUAACACCACCGACUUUGUUUUGCAGGGCUGUGUAUUUGCUUUAUUUGAUUGAACGAUCAAAGAAGUGCUUGGAUUUUUCAGCCACUCUCUAUAUCAUCCAUCUUUUCAUAUGUAUUGUGUAUGGGGGUUGGCCCUCUUCUAUUACAUGGUGGAUUGUGAAUGGUACUGGAAUUGCUGUAAUGGCUUUGCUAGGUGAAUAUCUGUGUAUGAAACGUGAACUUCAGGAGAUAAAAAUACCACGAUAUCGAUCAAGUAAGAAUUUACUCGUUUUUGGACGCUGGACUAAACAAUUUACUGCGUAUAUGUUUAAGCUUUUAAACUCAAUUUACAUUAGGAAUAAUAGAAAAUAAGUUAUAUUCUAUAUGUUUUGCUUGAUGUUCUUUUCCUUCUCACCCUUUUUUCCCAAUAGAAUAUUUUAAUAGACAAGAGAAUUGCUUGAGUUGGGAAAGCAUUGUAUUCAUCCUAAAUUUUGAGGAUUGGUGCUCCGAUCCAUCUUAAAAAAUGACAUCCAAAUGGACAUUUUCACACCUUAUAUGUAAGUUGGUCCUUGUGUUUCAAGCAAUUGGGGCCUAGGGAUACUAUCUCUUGCUGGCAGCUUUACAAACCUUGACCUUGAGAACAAGGUUAAAUUUAUAGCGGCGGUUAUUGAUGGGUCUCUAACUCGAGCCUUUAAGUUUGUAUGUUUAACUGAGAAGGAAGAGAUGAAGGAAAUGGGGGAAAACAUAACUGUACUUGUAAAAGUUGGGUUUGAAGGAGGGGGAUGACAACCUGGACUGGUGGUAGUGGGAGAGAUGAGAUAGGGGUGGUCGUAGUAUGUUUAGAGUCUCGCAUUGGAUAUGAGAUAUGACUUGAAAAUGAGUUUAUUAGUCACAACUAAAAUUCGAAAAAGCGGUUUUAGUCCCACAUUGCCUAGAGAAUAGAGGUAUGACCUUAUUCAUGGUUAUAAAGCUUGGGUUGUCCUCACCUUACAAACCGAUUGUGUAGGAUUAAGUUAGGCCCACUCCAAAUUCUAGAUGUUGUUUGAUUAUAUCCAAACCCAUUGGACCACCUGUUAUCAAGCUACUAGGGUCAUGCUCCAGUUAUCUAGUCUUGGGGUUGUGUUAAGAGUCCCACAUUGGAUGUGAUAUGACCAAAAAAGGCUACAAGUGGCAGGCAUCCCAGUGUGAGUUGUUUUUAUCUUAUAAACUUGUUUUGUAGAGUUGAGUUAGACCCAACCUAAAUUUUAUGAUGUGGGAACUUGAUUAUAAGGGUAGUGGGAACUCGGAAGGAAAGCAAUCAAUCAUUUGGGUGAUUGUGAGGUGGCUACUACCACAACCGGGCAGAGAAGUUUUCCUUCUACUUUUUUCCGCACUUUACAAUUAUCAGGAUUUACUCUAUAAAUUUUUUCUUAUUAUUUCUAAAGUCAAUUGCAGUCCAUGUCAUAUUUAUGCUCUGGUUAGUGUUACGGAGAUUAACACUCAGAGCCGGAAGGCUAGGAUUUUAAUUUAUGUAUUUUCUUUAUAUUAUCACAUUGACAGUUUCCUUAUCUUAUUGCGAACUUGUGACAUCCUGUCGAUAUGCUUAAGUGCCGUUUGGUAACAAAGAAUUUUUCAUUUUGUGGACAUAAUGAUGUGUUGUUUAUAAACUGAUAAAUAUUGGUCUAUGAUUUAAUACAUUCAAAUUUCUUUCAGAUGUUUGAUUGACAUAAAGAAGUAACCCGAGUCUUGAAUUUAAGAAAGGAGUUGUACUGCAGGAUGAUAACAUCUUUUGCUUCUAUAUACGGUUGAUCUCGAAGAUAAAGCCCAUGUAGCGCAUAGUUGUUCUAUUAUGCCAUUGAAAGAGCUUCAUUUACUUUUCUAUUCUUUAGCUGCAAUAGAUUUUAUAGAUAACCAGACAAAGAUCAGGUACAUAAUUUUCCAGGAAGUUCUGAAAAUGUUAUGUAGGUUAUUCUCAUUCUAUUUUGUUUUUUGUCCUUUCCAUAUAGCGAUUGUCGGUUAAGGUGAUUCAGCUUCAAUUCUUUUUACCCUCUUUGUGAGUUAUUGGAUCUAUUUGAUUUCUUAGAAAUAUGUAUUAGUUUUGUGCCAUUGUUAAAAAGGUUGUUGUAUCAGAUUGGAGAAUGAAUCUCAAUAAAAUUUGCAUUCUAACUUCUUUUUUGAUUGAUGAAUCUGUACCACAAUUUUGUGGUUGAUCUUUCUAAGUACAGUAUAGUUUAUUUGCUAUUCAUACAUAAUGUGAGGUCUAUUUUUCAAAUUUGUUACGAGUUUGAAUCAUAGUAGUAAUUCCCGGAUAGCGUCAUAGAGCUGUUCUAUUUAAUCAUUUUUUUGGACAAGUUACAUAGAUGACCGAUCUCUUUUGAUCAUUUUUGGACAAAUUACAUAGAUGACCGUUCUAUUUGAUCAUUUUUUGGGACAAAUUACACGUAGUAAUUAUAAACAUAUGUUUGAUGUAAAAUUAAACAACUAAGUAGUGAUGUCAAGGUUGAAUCUCAAAGUGUUUUAAGAAAAGAGACUCAAGUCUCCGAGAAUUGAUUUGGUUUUAUAUUUAGGAUCGAUCGUAGAAGCGAUUUAUCUAUUUCGACGUGUGAUGAAAUAGUAUUGGAUGGACCAAUAAGAUCUACACUUAAGUUUUAUUGAUUUGGAGAAGGCAUAUGAUGAUGUAGAGAGUUUUUGUGGAAAUCCCUGGAAAAUAAAAUGGUUAGGAUUGUAUAAAUUCGAGUUAUCCAAAAUAUGUAUGAAGAGGUGUCGAUUAGUGUGCAGACAUAAGGUAGAGAGACAUACGAUUUUUCUAUUACAAUUGGUUUGCAUCCUAAGCCCUUUUUACUCUAAUUUUAGAUGUAUUCACGAAAUACAUUCAAGAGCUAGCACCGAGAUGCAUGCUUUUUGCGGAUGAUAUAGUUUUUGGUGAGUUGAAGGAGGAUUUAAAUGAGAUUGAAAAUUUGGAGACAAGUUUUAAAACACAUGGUUUUCGCAAAGUAAGACGGAGUAUAUGAAAUGUAAGUUCAAUAUAAGAAGAAGCGUUUCUAACCUAGAGUUGAAAGUUGGAGACCAUAUUAUCCCUCAAGUAACAAAAUUUAAAUAUCUUGGGUUCAUGAUACAAAAUGAUGGAGAAAUUAAAUGGGAUGUAAACCACCGAAUUCAAGAUGAGUGGUUGAAAUAGAGAAGGACAUAAGGUGUUUUAUGUGAUGUAAAAGUACCACUCAAGUUAAAGGAAAAGUUUUACUUGACUGCAGUAAGAACUGUGAUUUUGUAGGGAACAAAAUCGCUGCGAGCGAGAUAACGCUGUCUGCUAUCGACUAUAAAAGAAAUGUAAGACAAUACUGUCACUCAAUGUCAACAUAAUGAAAUCCUCACAAUAGUUCUUUCUUGGUUGCUCUUUCUUCUCCAACUAAAGCCAAAAAUGGACAAGAGUAACAAAAUACAUAAAUAAAAGUAGCAUCCUACAAUAAGACUUUAAUUUAAACAAAGUUGAAUGUCUCAUAAGGCUAAAAGCUUUCAAAGUUAGUUUUUGUCUAACUGCUGAAAGUCAGAAGCCACAAUCUUUCUCUGUCUAACUGCUGAAAGCUCAUCUAUGGAGGAGCUUCAUCAAGGCUGAGCUUUCCACGAUGAUGAAAUGUCCGCCACGGCUUCUCCUACCGACAGAUACAGUCCUUUCAUUCCAAACGAUUCCAAAAUAUUCGACUCGUGCAAUUUUUCCAUCACACUUCCAACAGGAUUUGCUAACACAAGCUGCACAAUCAAUCAUAAAUGUAACGAUUAGAACGAAAACUAAGUGAAACAUUCAAUUCUGUCACGCACGAGCUCUUAUAUACUGCUGUAGUAUCUUGUGUCGAGCACGAGAUAUAUAGAUAGAUAUAUACCUGAAGUGACUUUUGCUCCAGUCUCCUUCUAAGUUCGGAUAACGUGUCAAUUCCAUUCGUGUCUAUGCCUGUCACAGCUGAAAAAGAAAAGAAAAAACAGUAAACAUUAUAUCGAAAACGAUAACAAAUCUUCGAUAACAAACUUUGCAAGUGAAGCAAAAGACAUACCUGUCAUGUCUAAUAUUACGCAUUUCAAUAUACUUCCAUUGUUUGCUUUUACAUAUUCUUCCUCUUCUCGAACCCAUCUUAAAAUUCUAAAACAAGAGAAGAACUCAAAAUAGUUAGAACCUUGAAAAUAUACAAAACUUGAAAAACAUACGUACUUUCCUUAUACCACGGACUUAAAUAUAAGCAAAAGAAUACACGUAUCUGGUCCAAAAAUGUGGACCAGAUACAUAAACUCAAGACUCGAGAGGGAGUAUUAUCUAACCUUUCUUGCAGGUAAGUUGCAUUGGCAAAGUAAAUAGGAGACUCAACAGCCAAAAUGAUAAAUGAAGGAAUCCUUAGAGCCUCUUUAUAUUGAUUUAGGUUGUGGAAUAUUGGUGUGCCUGGAAUGUUUCCUAAAACCAAUGUGUUUGGCCUAGAGACAUGAAGCAGGAUUUUGAAUACCGAUAUCGCCACCUAAAAAGAUACGGAAAGUUAUACACUGUCGACGAGUCAUAACAGAUCAAUUUUUUUUUUACUGAUAUGACAGUUGAAUUUUAAAGCUUACCGCGAUUCCAAGGCCUAUUGGAACUGAAAUGAAGAGAACACCGAAGAAGGAACACAAACAAGCCAAGAAAUCAAGCUUGUCAACUUUCCACAAUUUAUAUGCUACUUGAAAAUCGAUCAGACCGAUAACAGCGGUGAUGAUAAUGGCUGCCAAGAUGACAUUCGGCGUGUAAUAGAACAGUGGCAUGAGAAACAGAAGUGUCACGAGAACUGCUGAUGCCAUGAUUAUGUUUGAUACUGCUGUCUGUGCUCCAGCAUUGUAGUUAACGGCCGAUCGAGAAAACGAUCCUGCAGGUUUGUUUUAUAUUUAGAAUCAAAAUAUUCUCGAAAAGUUCGAUUUCUUUAUCAACUACUUGUGAUGAAUGGAUCAUUACCUGUUGUGACAUAACAUGAACAACAAGGACCAGCUAUGUUCAUAAGACCAAUAGCCAUCAUUUCUUUGUUUCCAUCCACUUGGUAGUUCCUAAGUGAAGCAAAUGUUCUUCCAACUGCAAUUCCUUCCUGAAACAUAAGUUGAGUUGUUUUUAUGGAAUAGCUUAUAAAUAAGUGAUUAGUUUGAUAAGUGCUUCUACUAAGUUUGAGAAAGCUUACCGUGAGAGACAAGAUUCCACUGACAAGUCCUGUUUUGAUAGCAAGAGCCAAAUAAGGACCAUUGAAGAAUAACAUGUUUGAUGAUGGUGGAUUAAUUCCCUUUGGCAAUUCACCAAUCUUCCAAACAAAAAAGAGACUUAUUAAUAAGAUUAUUUAUGUUUAACAUCCUGCGUAUUUAAGGGUAUGUUCGAAUUAAACUGGCAUGCCCGUCCCGGAAAAAAAUAGACGAAAGGAACAUAAUUGAGAGUGCGGGCCUAAAAUCUUGACCCGCCCAACAAAAAUACGAAGGCGGGACGAGCAUGCGGACCUAAAACCUUUAUCUGUCCAGCGAAAAAAUUAAGACAAAGCAGACAUAUAGUGAUGCUAGUCUAAAACUUUGACUCGGCCAGAAAAAAAAUGAGGGCAGGACAGACGGGGUAGAGAUGCGGGCCUAAAAUCUGGCUCCCAGCAAAAAUAUUAGGGUGGAGCAGGCAUGCCGACCUAAAACCUGGUCAAAAUAUUAGGGUGGAGCAGACAUGCCGACCUAAAACCUUGGUCUGCCAAAAAAAAAUGAGGGCGGAGUGGAGAUGCUGACCCUGCACCUCUAAAAACUAAAAGUUGCAAAAUUGUUGUUGAUUCCCUCGCUUGCAAAAGUCCGAAAAAAAAUAGGACGGUGCGGGACAAACAUAUGAGAGGGUGCGAGUCUAAAACCAUAAUCCGUCCCGUAAAAAAAAACGCACGUCUGAUUGGUUGAAUUCAUUUUACUUCUGCUAAUCUAUUUUGUCACCUCUAAUUAUGAAUUUGACGGAAUUACAUUGCGUGUGAUUGUAAUUUUGAAAAGAAAAACUAUACUUACAAUUGCUAUUUUAUGGAUUUUAUGUCUCAUUGAAAAGACUAAAAUUGUUGAAAGAAUAACUGAAGUCAAUGGAGCAGCUGCUGAAAUCCAGAAUAAUUUUGGCUUCUUCAUGCUCUGUCACAAUAUAAAAACAUAUAUAAGAAUUUUCAUAUUCUUAAAAAACAAAUGAAAUUUAAAUAAAAUCCAUAUAUUUGUGUAUGCAAAUUAAAAUAAGAAUCUUACAAUGUGUCUUGUUGUUAGCAAGAAGGCUAGGAAACUAAAUCCUAGCAAAAUUGUUUGCCAUGACCACUGCAAAAAAAAAAAGAGGACAUUUAUGUAAUUUUUAUUAGACUUAAUUUUUUUAAUUAAUAUGAUAAAUAUAUAUUUAUUUUAAAAGUGAGAAGAAAAAUAUUAAAUAUUUUUUUAAUUUUUUUAAUUUAUAAAUAUUAAUAAUUUAUUUGUAUUAUCGUAUAAAAUAUGAAUAAAUGUUGCACUUAUUAAUUGAACCGUGGAUAUUACUUCAAAAAAUUAAAUAGUUAAAAUGUGAUCUCUAAAUAUAUUUAAAGGGCAUAUAAGUAAUUAGAUUACACUUUUAUUUGUAAAUUUGCAUUUAUAGGACAAAUAAGGAUUUUCAUUUGAAUGUGACCCUUAAUUGGCUAAAUAUUCAAUAUGUCCAUUCAUGAAAGAAUAAGAAAAAAGGAAUCAUUUUUUUUAUCAAGAAAGUUAAAGAAAAUGGAAUAUUUUUGUUGUUGAUUAUAAUUGGAAUAUUUUUGUGAAAAUUAUAAUAAUUGGAAUAUGAUCCAUUGAUAAUAAAAAAAGUCAAAUUAAGAAAUAUCUAAAAAAGUAGCUGGCAUUUGGUAAUCAAUCUAAAUCAAAAUGUUAAUUCUUGUUAUAUUUCUUAAAACAGAAUCAAUGCUAUAAGAAUGUUUUGAAAAGUUUUGUGGUGGGGAUUGGUUUAUUUUUUACUCUUCCAACAAUUAUUUUUGGGUAAAAAAUGAAACUAUUUAUUUAUUUAUUUUUGAAACGGCUCUUCCAACUAAUAUUAGUAUUAGAUUUUUAGCAACAUGAAAAAAUUUCAUUAUAAAGUACUAAGAAAAUACAGUGGCCGUUCCUUUUAAAAAUACUCAAUUAAAAUUAUUUAAUUUAGUUUGUUAGAUCAUAUCAAUCGGUAGUUAUACAGAGAUAUUUCGUUGCAGAUGCGUGAAUUUAAAAUUCAUGACACUUUAUUUAUUUAUUUUUAAAGGUAAAAUUUCGACUAGUUAAUUAGUAUAAUUUUUUUAUUAAUAUAUAUUUUUUAAAUAAAUAAAAAAUGAAAUAUACCUCAUCUCUUUGCUUGAAAACAGAGGCUAAUACAGGAACAAUUUGCAUCUUAUUGGUGAAGUGAAGAAUUCCUAGCAAUCCUUUGAGUUGUUGAAGUGACACAAUUAUUGCAGCACCAGCCAUGAAACCAACCAAUGUUGCCUUUGAUAGAAAAUCAAUUACAAAUCCUAAUCUGCAUACACCUUCAAAGGUUAUUUCUCUUUUUAUUAAUUUAUUUAUUUUUACUCAAAAUUUUUACUAUUUGUUUUUAAUCCUAAAAUGCUAUUAUUUCUAAUAUUUUUCAUAUAAAUAUCCUUAUGACGAUUUUGAGAAUGCGCACAUAGAAUUAAUUUUUAAAAUUUUUAAUUAUAGAUACAAAAAACUUCAUAUAAUAAAUAUUUCAUUAUUAAAUUAUAAUUAAAUAAAGAAUUUAUUUAUUUUGUCACACAGUUAAAUUAUAAUUAAAAAAUAUAAGACUUUAAGAUAAUUCUAAUUAAAUUAUUAUCUCAAUAACAUAACAGAAGUCUCGUCGAAAUAAUAUAAUAAUUUUGUAUGCUUAAAAGUUUAAAUUUAAAUGUUUAUUUUUUUCUUCCAAUUUUGUUAAAUAAAAAUAUGAAUUGGUGUAUGAUUGAUGAGUAGUACCUUAAUACACCAAGUGAAGCUUGGAAUAAACCCCAAAAAAAGUUGAAGUGAAAGCUAAUUUAUUUAUUUCUUCUAUUAAUUAAUUAAUUUAUAAUAUAAAGAGGUUAUUUCUUUUUUAAUCAUAAAAUAUUUUUAUUUGUAAUAUUUUUUAUAUAAAUAUUUUCUUAUUUAAACAUGCAGAAGCAUUCAAAUUCAAAAUCAAUGUGCAAACUAAUUACCACAAAACCUUCAAUAUUUUAAGAAAAAAGGUAGAUAAAAUUUAUCUAUUAUAGGUAAAUAAAAUUUAUUUGGUUAAAUCAUAACUAAAUUUAACUGAACUAUAAUUAACCAACACAAACUUCUCAAAAUUUAAAAUGGUCCUGAUUUAAAUUAUCGUACCCUCAGAACCUCUAAUAAAAAAAAUUGAAGAAAAAGAUCUCUCAUCUCAUCGAAAUAAUAUAAAAAAUUUGUAUAUUCAAAAACUUCAAAUUUAAACAUAAUGAUAUUUUUUUUCCAAUUUUUUAAAUACAAAAUAAAUUGGUGCAUGAUUGAUUAGUAGUACCUUAACACACCAAGAGAAGCUUGAAAUAAACCAGCAAAAAAAGUUGAAGUGAAAGCCAAUUUAAGAUAGAGAAUUGGAUCUUGAUUAUAAGAAACACUUUCACUUAACAUUGAUCCCAUAACUAAUGAUGCAAUUGAAACAGGACCAACUGCAAGAUGUUUUGAACUUCCAAGUACUGAAUAUAUCAAAGCAGGCACAAAACUUGAAUCUGCAUAACAAUAUUAAUAAUUAUUAUUAUAUAUGAUUAAAAAAAUCAUAUAUAUCAUGUAAUUUCUUAUAGAUCAAUCACAAAAACAGAAAAUGAAUACUAACACAAUCCAAUAAUAGGUGGCAAGUUUGCAAGCUUCGCAUAACUGAUUCCCUGGAGAAAAAAAUACAAUAAAUCAAAGUCAAAAUUUUUGUUUUUUCAGAAAAUCCAUUAAAUUAAAUAUUUGCUUAUAUCCUUAAAGAAAAUGUUUUUUUUACUAUAAUGAUAUGCAUUAAUAAAACCAAAUCCAUGCAUGCAAGAUGAACAUAAUUAUAAUUUUUUGUGAUAUUUUUUAGUUGUGAAGAUUGUAAGUGCAAUUUAAAACUUUGAUAUUGUAAAGGUUUUAUAAACCUUGUACUGAUCGAAAUUGCGAAAACCAUUAUGCGAGACGUACCUGAGGAAUGGCGAGACUAGCGAUGGUGAGACCGGAGACGAUAUCGGAGCGAAGAAGUUUAAGAUUAUACUCAGGACCCCAUUGAAAAAUAGGGAACAAAUAUUGAAGAGCAAGAAGAAACUUGAUGAUCCAAGUUUGGUUUUUGAAUCCAUGAAAAGGGUCCUCAGGGAAAAAGAUUUCAGAGAGUCUAUUUCUAAGUUUUUGAAGAGUGGUUCUUUGUGGUGGCAAUCUCACCUUAUGAAUUUCAAAUGGUGAUUGUAGUAACAUUGGUAUCUCCGAUUGAAUUUUAAUGGUUUCAAAGGAAUCGACUCUCUUAGAAUUUCCAACCAUUUUUGUUGUUGUUGUUGUGUGCACAACACAAGCCACCACUAAAGUGAGAGUUGAAAUUUGUGUUGAAGAGAGAGCGUGGUUAUGAAUUUAUAGAGAGAGAGUGUGCGGUGAAUUGAAUGAAGAAACUAAGUAGCUAGGUAGCCAUUGAAAUGGCAUCAAGACAAGUGUUUGUCACUGUCAUGUUGGGGUUCAUUGUUCAAAAGUUGUAUAGUUAUUGGAAUCUUCUAGGGGCUCUUUAGUCACAUCACAUUUUACAAGAGUUUAUAUAAUUAAUUUAUUUAUAUUAAGUCAGGCAUAUAAUUAUAUAUCUUAUAUUAAUUCAACUUAAUUAAUAUUGAGCUACUUUAUCCCCCUCCAUAUUAUUAUUUUUAUUAAUUUAUAAUUUAUUUUAAUGAUAAUUUAUAAGCAUUUUUCCUAAAAUACUUUAAGUAGAAUUUGAAAUUAUAGUUUAUUAUUUUUUAAAAAUUUAACUUUAUAAUUUAAUUAAAAAAUUAAAUAUUAAUUUGAAAAUAUUUUUAUUAGCUAGUUGAAACUUUAGAUUUAUGACUAAUUCAAUGUGCAUUACCCUCAAAUUGCUAUUUCUUUUUACUUUCUAUCUAGAGUAAUUAAAAUUAAUCCAUCAUUAUACCCCCAUCAAUUAUACCUCAUAUCCUAUCAACUACAACUCAUAACCCCACAAUAAUUUUUUUUAAACCAAAAUGCCCUCGUAUAAAUAGGGUAUACUUUUAAAAAAAUUGGAUUUUACUUUAUUUUCACUUCAAGACUUCCGGAACAACCUUUUUAUCAUUGUAAACUGGAACACUAAGAGUAAGUCUUCCGGUUCACAAACAACAUACCAAAACACUUUCUAGAAGAUUUUCGGUUCGCUGCAGAUUUAAGGCAUUGAACCGGAACUCUUUAAUAAAGACUUCCGGUUUUGAAGAGUGGUUACCAGAACUCUUCGUAAAAGACUUUUGGUUUUCAUUCAAUUAACCAGAACUCUUCGUACAACAUAUAGCUGCUUCUAGCUGAGCAUAUGCGACUAGAGCAUAUUUGUUGAUUUUGGUGGGUUCCACAAUUUUUGCCGACAAGACCUUUACACUCGUUAAGACACGAUAUAUCUUACUGUUUACGGACUCAGAUAGAUGUUUGGGAUACAGUUGAUGAGCAGUUUCAUUGGUUAGCCUAUACAGAUACCUUGGAGAUGCGUCCAUGUUCAGUUACAAGCAGCUCAGUGAAUAUCCUACUCUCCUACAGGUAUAUAAUUUAUUUAUUUUUAUUAUGUAUUGGGUUUAUUUUAUAAAGUAUGUUAAUUUAAUUUAUUUUGUUUAUUAUGUUUUUAUAUUGUAACAUUGUUGGAUUCACGAGUACUUUCCAACUGUUGGAAAAAGAGGAGAGAAUUGGAAACCAACUGAUAAUUGUGGUCUUCCUCAAGCGAUGAGAUGGUUCUAUAGGCAAGGAGUCCUAAAGGUGGAUGAUUUGCGACCUAUUUUGGACGAGCUGACACCUGCCGACGUCAUAUGACGUCCAUUUGAGGAUCAUAGAGGAUGACGCCAGUUUGAUGAAUUAUGUUUGUACAAGGGGUGUUUGAAGUGGGGUGAAACAGUUGUUCCAUAGUUGUCUGACAGAUGUAUACGUCAGUUCGGGUACAAACAGUAUGUUUCAUCCCCACCUCUUGGUUGUAUGAUGGCUAAUGAUAUUGAUGUUGAUUGGAUUGGUUACCAUUAGAGCAUUCUUGUUGUGAUCCGUCCAACAACAUUAUCCACCACUCCAUCUGAUAUAGAAGAUGGAUACCUGGAGUGGUAUUAUUGUGUUUCACAUCCUCGUUUGGUCCCGCCCCAUCGUGAUGAACCAAGAGAGGUGCCAAUUCCUAUUUACGAAGCAGGACCAUCUGAUCGUAAUUGGGCCCGUGUUUCUAUAUUGAUUCAUCGUUAUCUGAGACAAGUUAAUGCUGAAGAGGAAGAUCCACAGUUUGCUGAUUUAUUUGAAGUUUUGCAUAUUUCUCGUUCACAUUGAUUUAUGUAUUAGCAUUUAGAACUAAAUGUAAUAAAACUGACAUAAUAUGAUAUUCAUAUUUUGAUUACAUAUUCAUGCUAAUAUAGGCGUAAGUAAUUGUCAAUGUUGUAGACGUCCUGCAAAUCCUAACAUCCAAGAUGUUGCUAUUGGACAACGAACUUUCUUCUAAUCUAAUAUGACCGGUGGCAACGGAAACCCUUCUUUCAUGUUUACCUGAUAACAAUAAUUAAAACAUAUAUUUAAUAAAGUGAAAUAAGUAAAAUAAUUAAAACAGUAAGUCAUAUAAAAUAAAAUAUGUACCUGAACCCAAUAAUUUUGGUUAACAAAACCAAUGCAAUAAAUGAAGAUAUUUGGUGAAUGUGAACUUGUCAUAGGAAAUGGAGACAUUUUGGUUAACAAAACCAAUGCAAUAAAUGGAAACAUUUUGUUAAUGUGAAAUCUACAUAGCAAAUUAAUCGACAUGGGAAACACAAUUUCAAUUGCUUUCUUCAAAGCAAGAUCUCUAUUUGUCAAAAUCACUUGUGGACACAAAUCUUUCUUCACAAACAAUUCUGUAAGUUUCUCUAAUACCCAACAAAAAUUCUCUGUCUGCUCAGACUUGAUAUAAGCAAAUGUGACAGCAAAAGUCAACUCGGUUGAUGUCAUGCCAAUGAUUUCAAACAAAGAUUGUGUAUAUUAGUUUGUCUUGUAGGUGAUAUCCAUAACUAACACAAUAGGAAAAAUAUUCAGCAACUUAACGGAAUCAGGAUGGGUCCAAAAUAUCUCUCUCACAACUUCCGAGUCAUCCCUUUUUCUACUCCAAUACACAUAGCCUACAUCCUCAAUAAGCUUAAACAAAUGUUGUAUCUCACUUCUAGGAUCUCUUAUCUCUUUUUCUAUCAUACUCGUAUGCUUGUAUAUUUGCGUAAUCCGAGUGACAUUCUCUGGAUCUCAGUCUUACAAGAAAAGAAAUAUGUCUCUAGGUGGUACAUGUUUCUUUGUCAAAUCAGUGACAUGUUGCUUCUCAUAUGUGGUAAACCUACCAAUUAAGGAAUGACCUUCUGAUCUAUCAGGUAAACCAUGAUUAUGGACCCCACAUUUUACAUCAAUCUUCCAACCAGACUCAUCUUUCGUCGGAGUCAACCUGAUUUUAAAUGGGUAUCCACAUUUUUUGGACGCACUUUGGAUUCCACUAUCAGUAUCCUUGUACUUCCCACCUUUAUCACAGUCAAAUAUUAUUUUGUUACCUCUCUCUCUUGCAUGUUUCAGUAUCUGAACGAGUGAUAAUAAUGAUUACUUUAUUAUGGAUUCCGACCUCUUUAAUUCAUCUGAUCACCUUUUCUCAUGUACAAAAUUUUUGAGUGGUUAAAAACGCGUAAGAAGUAUCUACACAUAUUUGGGGAAGAAUUUCUAUACCUGCACAAUAAAGAAAAGUAAAAAAAAAUAUUAAAAUGCAAAUCGGAAGUCUUCACGGAAGAGUUCCGGAUCACAUAAAUAAAACACCGAAAGUCUUUGGAAAAGACUUUUGAUGUAUGUUACUUUGUUAACCGGAACACAUAUGAUAAGUGUUUUGGAACGUUCUUUUUUCAAAAAUUGAACUGGAACUCGUCACGUAACUUUUCCAGUAUACGUUAUGCAGUAUUCCUGAUGUCUUUCACGAAGUCUUCCGAUUUGAAAAAAAAACAUACCAGAAGUCUUUUUCAAUGAGUUCCGGUACGAGGGUGAAUAAUGCAAUUUUCGGAAGUCUCAAUUGAAUAAUUAAAAGUGAAAUGAUAAAUUGGUUAAAAAUAAAUAAGGAUAAAAUUGGUAUUUUUAAAAAAAUAUAGAGAUAUUGGUAUAAGUGCAGGGGUAUGAAGUAAAAUUUCCAUCUAAAAAAAUAAAAUUUCAUUUUUUUCAAGGAUUUUUUAGCCCAACCCUAAAUAACUCGCUAUCCGUUAGGGCUAGCCUGUGUGGGCUGUAGGUAGCCCAAUAGGCCCUCAUAGCUAUAAAUUAAAAAAUAUUAUAUUAAUACUUAAAUUGUAUUAUUCCAAAAUAACAUAUUGGUUUUUCUCACAUUGCUAAACUUUAUCUAUAUUAUAUUCAAACUUUCUCUUUUAAAUCUUAUACAUUAAUACAAUCAACAUUCUUUUCACGUAUUCUAUUAGUUUCUCUUAUGUUAAAUAUUCGAGUAUUAUUUUAUAUAAUUUAGACAUGUAUUGUAUUUAAAAACACAUUAUAGUAUUUAUAAAAGAUAAUAUAGUACUUAAAAAUGUAUUAUAUUUAAAAUAUAUAUAUAUAUAUAUAUUUUUAUUUAUAAUAAAUAUUAUGGAGUUUUUAUUUUAAUUUUUUAUUAAAAAAAACUUAUUUAGGACAGGGUAGCCCGAGGUCUAUCUAGGGUCGAGCUCGGAUAGUAUUUUUGAGUCCAUAUUACUACAUGACCUUUUUGGCCCAGCUCAGACCUGCCAGGGCCAACCCGUUUAGGGUCGGGUAACCCAUUUUGACAACUCUAAAUUUUUCACAUAGUUUAUCACACAGUUUAUUCCCGUAACAUCCAUGUAUAAUACACAUCUAAAAAACAUAUUACACGGUACUGAAUAUACAUGAAAGGCUAUCAACAACAUUAUACAUACAUACCUAAAAGAAUAAUAUACAACUAUGACUUAAUAUAUACAAAGGUGCCUAAAUAAAAAACUAAGAUUUAGAUCAUCAUCUAGAAGAUCUCAAAAUAUAUAUCUACACAUUGGAAGAAACGUCAUCCAAAAUAUCGAGCCACCAAGGGUCAUCAAGCAGUAGAGUAUUGAACUAGCUUUCCAACACAUCCGACAACGUCUCAUUAUGAGUUACAAAACUCAUUUUAUAGUGAAAACAUAGGAAGAAAUCGAUUGUCAUAUAUGUACAAUAUAUGGGUUGUCCAAAACUUUCUCAACUCUUUACCAAGCGUGAAAAUUUAAAAUUUGAGCAUGACAAUCGAUAGUCACUGCAAUUUUCUCCAAAAAUAUCAUUUCUAAACACAUCCCCUUCCAACUUUAAUCAUCCUAAACCAUUCCAAAUCAUGAUAUAUACUCAAGAAUUUCAAACCAUGAAAUUAACAUCAUGCACGAACAUAUAUGCAACCUUGCUUCCUCAUUGUUCAUACAUCAUGCAAUCACAAUAGCAACAACAUGGUUCCAUCACAUGUUCAUAUAACAACAACAUAAUAUCAACAUAACAUCAACUUUAUGGAUUAGUAACAAUAAUAUAACAAGAAGUCAUUCAUAAAAAAACAACAACUACAACAUAGUUUCUUCAUUUCUUAACAUCUCUAACAAUUCAACACAACUUCAAACACAACAAUACAAUAUCAUAUCAUCAAUUUCACAAACAUAUUCACAAAUCAUAAAACUCAAAACUCAAUUAUCAUGGAUUAACAAUAUGAAUCAUGCAAAACAACAGGUAUAACAAGUUUCAUUAUGGAUUUUCAUAAAAACAAGUUUCACAAGUUUCAACAUCCAAUUUACACAUAUAACAAGUUUCACAAAACCCUAGUUCCCAAAUUUAUGGAUUUUCUUCCCCAAAAAAAUUAGCUAUCUAGGAAUGCACCUUAAGAGAUGAAGUUUGAUUAUGAAAAUGUGAUGUUUUGCUUCUUGAUCCAAGCUUUUAUCUUCUCUCUCCAAACUUAUAAUCACACAUAAUUUAUCCUGGUAAAAUAGAUUAAUCACAUAUAGUGUAUCCUGGUUCAACGUUUUAAUCUGAACCUACGCCCACUCCCUUUACAAUAAUAGAUUUGGACUAUAAUCAAGUAGAUUAUAAUUACAAAGAUAUUUUAUGGUCAACCUAACCCACAUUUUAGAUUUUAAACAGAAAGAAUUAAUAUCAACUAAAUCUCUUUGAUGUCUCAGAGAAUUUGGAUACACUUAGCCCUUUGAGGAGAUAUAAUCUAGUAAAUAGAUAAUGGAUAAGGUGUUUACUAAUAUCACUAAACAAAGAUGUAAACAAUUUAACAGAAAUACAAGUGUUUGAAUCUUUCAACAGAACGUCUAUACAAUAAACCCACUUGUUUGCUUCUUUUUUUUUCUUCUAGUAGAGCUUCUUUUAUAGAUUUUUUUAAAGUUCUUUUCUUUUUUCAAGCCGAUUAUCUAAAAUUUAUUCGCAAAUUUGUUUCAAUAUUGUACAGUGUGAUUAAUAAAAAAUGAGAAGUUGAGUCAUUAUAUAUCUUAUUUUUUAUAAAUGUUAGGUGAUCUUUAUCUUCUGAGAAAGGGUUUGUUGUGAUAUUUUGUACAAUUGCAACAUACUAUUUCGUGUCUUUUGUGCUCAUAAAAGAUCUUGUGGCGCAAUAUAUUUUACCUUUUGUCAUGUAAAAUAUGCACCAUUGUACCUAAUGUACUAUUGCUUAGUUGUCUCGAUCCUGAAUAUUUUUGAUGGAAAAUUGUUAAGUUAAUAUUUUCAAGAAUAAGCAUUACUAAUGGUUGCUAAAGGAAACAAACUAGCAUUUGAAAGCAGCUUAACCUUCUAAUAUAGGAUCAAACUUCUAAUUGACCAGAGGAAUCAAAUAAUGACUUAUGUGUCAUGAUCAAUUGAUAUUGUUGAGAGUGUGUAUCAGUAGGUACAAGAGUGAGUUAUCAUGAGGCGCUUCCAAAGGAUGCACCAAUAUAUGCAGUCUCGAAAUGUUUAAUGAUCACUUGUAUUUAUAUUAAAUAUUCCAUAUUCAUCUAUUAGACCCAAGAAUCAUUUGUAGGACUUAUUUAUUGUUUCUAAAGGAUAGAAGAUCUUAAAUAUAUUUAAAAGGUUUAUACAUAAUUAAAAAAUGUUAGACAAUAACAUCAAUAUUCUAUAUUGUAUUAUAAUCAAAACCAAAUUAAAGAGUCAAUGUCUUCAAACCAUUUUUGGUUUUGCAAUCGCUAAUUUUUAGGGGAUGAUAAAUAAUCAUAUUUUAAUUAAAAAUGUUAAAUUUCUAAGAGAUGAUAAAUAUUAUCGGCUCAACAUGUUCUCCUUUAGACCAUGCCAAUAAUACAAAAUAAAAUGUAAUGUGAUAAUAACAUUUUUUAGAUUCAUAGUUAGAGGUAAUCUCUUAAAAACACGUAUGUAAAAAUAAACAUUAUUAACACAUUUAAAAUUUUAAAAAAAAGUACGUUAUCUCUUCCAUACAUCAAAUAUGUUUCUUCGCCUUUGGUUAUCAAACAAAAAUAUGUGUGAAAAAAAAUUUAACAGUUUAGCUUAGGUAAAGUAAAAAAAAACUUUGACAUGAAAAAUAACAAAUAAAAAUACUGAAACAAAGUAAAACAAAAGGAUUUUUUUAUUGAUCAUAAAUAAUAAAUACACAAUUAUAAGAUCUCACAAUGAUUAUAAUAUAAUAUAUAAAAAUAGAAACAAACAGCAACUAGGUUGAGGUAUUGCGUAUACAAAUGGUCAGUUGUUUUCCUAUAAUCUGUCAAGUUUUUCAAUAUUUAGGGAAUUGAGAUAGGGACCAAGUUCAUGAAAAUAAGUGUUCCCUUAAAUAGUUUAGUUCCUAAGGAACUCAUCAAAUUAGAAAUCGAAAUGAAAGUGGAUAAGAAUUGUGAAAAUGUGUUUCAUUCUUGUGUAAAGGAUGUACUAAGUUUGGUGUUAUAUUACAAAAAAUCCAUUUCACAAUGGUUGAAAGAUGGAUAUCAUCACGGUUGAUCAACCAUUGCGAGGAUGGGUGUGAUUAUAAAUAAAAGUCCAACGUUUAUGGAUGUCGUUUAAGUCAUCGAAGGAGAAAUGUGUCUUAUCGUUAAACUUCUAUAAAAAAAGUGAAGAAAACUUAAUAUCACAUUAUUUGAAAUAUAAUAUUUAAGGUAAAAAUAUGUUAUUAUAAACAUUUCAUGACAUAAUAUAUACCAGAUACAUAUGAUGGCGAGAAUCCAUAAACCGUCGAUAAUUUGAUAGCUUGCUCUCGGAUAUAUAUAGACACACACAUAUAUCUUUCUUCUUCUUCUUCAUAAGAUUUCUUCCAUAUUAUUCAUACGCUUUCUUCCAAUUUUCUAUGUAUAGGUUCUUCCAUUUUUCUUUGUUUUUCAUACGCUUUCAUUUGGUAUGACUUUCGUGUUUUCAUUUGGCAAAAAACUUAGAGUUUAGGGUUUAGGGUUUUCAUUUGGGGUGAUUUUCAUGUUUUUGGGGUUAUCUCUACUUGAAUCUCCAUUUUUGAAAUGUAUCUCAGUUAUCAUAUAUGUUCCAUGUAUGACAUUAGUUCUUCUUAAAAAUCUAAAAAUCUCUGUUGACAUAUAUGCUCUAUGAAAUGAUAUGUUUUUUCGUGUUCUUCUUAAAAAUCUAAUUUGUGUCUAGGUCAACUUUAAUACAUUUAAGACACUAGUUCAAGAGAGACAUUAUUGUGUCUAGGUCAUGCUAGUUUAUCUUUUCAAAUUCGGUUAACAUGCUAAUAUACAUUUUGAUUUGUAUGUGUGGUUCAUAAAUUAUUUGCGUUUCUAUGAAUAAAAAAUAAAAGGAGGGUGAAGCUAAUGUGAAAGACCUAGAUCCUGGGACAUAAGUUUGCCGCUCUCACUUCAGCUUCAUCCUCCUUUCAUUGUGGAUGUCAUUAUGAGACAAGUAGAUCACUUCUUCGUCUUCAUUCUCCACGAAUCUUUUCAAUAAAAAGUAUAUUUGUGAAACAAUUUAUGAGUUGAUAUGUUAUUUCUAAAUCGGGUUAACAUGUUAUUUGUAAGAUUUCAAUGUCACGCUAGUUUAGGUUUCCAAAUCAAGUUAACAUGUUAUUUGUAGGACUACAAUGUCAUGCUAGUUUAUGUUUCCAAAUCAUGUUAACAUGCUAAUAUACAUUUUUUCUUGUAGGUGUGGUUCACAAAUUGUUUGUGUUGCUAUGAAGAAAAAUACAAGGAGGACGAAGCUAAUGUGAAAGUUGCAAACUUGUGUGAAAGACUCGGAUCAUGAGACACAAGUUUGCUGCUCUCACUCCAGCUUUAUCCCCCUUCAUAGUGGAUUUCUUUAUGAGACAAGUAGAUCAUUUCUUCCUCUUCAUUCUCCACGAAUCUUUUCAAUAAAAUAUGUGUUUGUGAAACAUUUUAUGAGUUAAUAUGUUGUUGUUAUUCGAAAUGUUUGCCUAAUUUUUUAAUUCAGUUGAGUUUGUUAUACUUGAAAAUCAACUUAGAUGAAUCAAUAUUUUUCGAAUUACAUGCAUCUUGUAAUUCUCUCGCUCUUUAACAUAUAUAAUUUGGUUCAAUGUCCAAAGUUCUUUAAAAUAACAAUUCAUUCUCUUUUAUUUUAUAUUGCAAAAAAAUCAAUUUUGUUGAGAAAUUUUGAAUCAUGUUCAUCAUUGUCAUCAUAAUAAUCAUCAUCAUCGAUUAAAAUAAAGAUGAUGAUAUGAUGCCGAUAACUCAUAAUUAGUCAAAAUUUGAUGUUUUGCAAAAUAAAUUAUAAGAGAAUUAACCAUAUAUUUGAAGAACCUGAGGCAUUGAACCAAAUUCUAUAUGUUAAAGAGCUAGGGAUAAAUUACAAGAUGCAUGCAAUUCCAAAAAUAGUGGAACAUCUAAGUUGUUUUUCAAGAAUAAUUUAAUUUUUCAGAUUAGCAUCUUUUAAAUCAAUUUGAAUGAUUGUAUAUGUUUAUUGAGGGAUAUGGAAAAACAAACAAUCCACAUAUUUUAUAAUAAACUUUUAAAAUAAAUUAAUCUCCAUAUAUAUAUAUAAUAUAUAUAUAUAUAUAUAUAUUAGAUUCAACUUUAAAAUAAGUGGAUCUUAAAACAUGUUCACCAUUUCAAUGAUUGGUUAGAAUUAUUAAACCCUUGGUGUAAAGUGAUUGUCAACAAAAGUAAUUAACUACAAACUCUUCAAUGCUAUGAAGAAUCAACAUGAAAAGUCUUUUUCCUUUUGCUCCUUAAUAAGGUAAAUGCAUGAGAAGUGGCGCAUGUAAUGUGGUAUAUAUAUGUGAAGAGAUCCCUUACAAUGCACUAGCAUCAAUAUUGCAGCAAGAUCCAAUUUAGUAGAUAUGUCCACACCAAGAACAAAUUCUCCAAAUUCUACGGAUGUUAUUUAAUUUAUAUUCUAUUUCAGUCGGCAGCAAUAUACUAAUGAUGUUUUUUACAUUCACGGUUACGCAUUGAAGCCAACAAGUUAUUAUAUAUUAAUUAUGUAUUUAACUUAUAAAUUAGUGUUGUGAUUAUUCAAUUGUUUCAAUAAGAAAAAUGUUAAAAAUAUAUAUUUUAUAUAAAUUCUGUAUUUGAGGAUAUAUCUUGAUUUGAUAAUUGGAUAUUUGUUUGAAGUUUAAAAUACUGAUUAUCAAUUAAUAAGUUAAUUUUUUCAAUAUUAGAAACAGAGAAUAAAUAAUUGAAAGUGUGAACAAAAAAUUUAAAUGAACAAUUUGAAAUAAAAUAUUAUUAUAUAAUUUUGAUUCCUCGAAGUUCAAAAAACAAAUUUAUGAAAUAAAAAUUAUCAGCUACUAAUAUUUCACUCAAAAUGGAUUCCUCUAUUGCACAACCUAAUAUUACAAAUGAAUUUUAAUCGUCCCUUAAGUGUGAUAGAAAAGUUAGUCCAAAUAUUAAAAAUUCUUUAUCAAAAAAUGGAAUUAAAAUUAAAAAUGACCUAAGUGAGAAUAUAAAAACUCUAAGAACACUUUAUCAUAAUUUAUUUUUGAAUUUUAGAAGAACAAAUCAAGUGCCUAAAACUUAUUUUUGAUGUUUUAGAAUAAUACAUGGUACAAUUUGUUUGAUAUCAAAUUGUUUUAAAUUUUAAUUCAAGUUUGAUAGUAUAAAAUUAUCUAAUAAUAUUAAUUUUAAUAAAAAAAUUAUUAAUGAACUUGUAGGGUAUUGAUUUGAAUUUUCAUUGCAUUAAUAAGAUUGUUAAUAUAAUUAUAUUGUAUCAGUUCUGUAAAACUUUAUUAUUUUUAACUAUUUUAAUACUAUAAUUUAAAAAAUAUAUAUUGAAUAUUUAGUGUCUAUUAAUGUUAAUAUUGAAUUAAUAUAAUGAUGAUAAUUGAAUAUGUUUUCAACAAAAAUAAAUAUAUAAGUGUACUUAUUAUUUAUUGUUUAUCCAAUAAAAGUUGUCGCUCGAAAGUCAUUUAGAGAUUGGUAAUUUUUUUGUUGAUACAGAUAAAAAAAUAUUUUUCUUAUUUAGUGAAACAAAAAAUUGAUGUUUGUAGUAUAUCUGACACCUCAAAAAUAAUUGAAGGUUUCGGAAGAGCUAAUGUGUUGUUAUGUGAAGAAACAAUAUUACUCAUUGAUAAUGUAUUAUAUUCCUCCAAGUCUCUUACAAAUUUAUUAAUUUUCACUUAUACGUCUAAAUGGAUACCAUAUUAAAUAUAUUUGUAUUACAAAACAUCAUUUGAACAAAUAAAUGUAUAAUGGAAAAGCUACUGGUUUUUCCGUCAAACUUGUAUUACACUUAUAUUAAUACAAUUGAACUCAACACAUGUCAUUGUAAACCAAAAGUUUACAAACAAUUUUAUUUUGUUGUUGGAAAAAUCUCUUGGAUCAUCUCGGAUGUAUUAUGAUGUGAAAACUAGUAUUGAAGAAGCAAAAGUUUCUUUAAUCCAAUAAGUUUUGCAUGUUCCUAAAAGAAAUUAAUUUUUUUAAAAGUUGAUUUUUUUAUAACAUAUAUAAGGUUAUAUUUGUGAAUCAAUACACCAAUCAUGUAGAAGAUUUAGAUAUUUUAUGAUAUUAAUUGUUGCAUCGACUAAAAUACCAUGCAAAUAUUUAUUGUCUCCUCACAACCAUAGAUUUGUGAAUUGUUUUCUCAUACUAAGAUCUCAAUUUCUGAGUUUUUCAGAACUUUCUUGAUAAAUAUCAAAUAUAUUAUUAAAAUUGACAUUGAACAUCUUGUAGGAUACAUUCAUAAAAAAAUUGACUAACUAACUUAUUUAAAUAUCCAAACUAUUGAUAAAAUUCUUUGCUUGCUUUUUAUUAUCCAUGGACAUUUGGAUAAAUUGAUUUAUAGUAUCCUCUAACUUUUAUUCAUUUUGUGGUUGACUUUGAUAUGUGUCAUACUCUAAAUUUUGACCACUUUUUUCUAUCCAUCUGAUUAGGACAUACAUGUCUGAGCACCCGAGGUCAUAUACAGCCCGAUUGAAUUAGAGUGUAGGAUUCUGAUUUAUCAGAGUCUCUUAUUUAUGUCAUUCGGUUAACUCUCAUGAUCAAAAAAAUCAAAAGAUGACCAUUUUAACUUUUUAUCCUCUUUUCAAAUUUGAUUGCAUUUAUGCAUUGUUAUUUUUUAGCUUUUCUAUUAGUUUUAUUUGUUUAGGUUAUUAGUUAGUUAAAAAAUUUAAAUAUUAUUAGAUUUUUUUUAGAAUUUACUUAGCUUUCAUUUUUAGAUUAUUAUUAGGUUGUUAUUGCAAAACUUUAUCAUUUAAAUUAAUAUUACUUAAAUAUUAUUAGAAUAGGUUAUUAGAUUAAUUAUUAACCUUAUUAGAUUAUCAAGUGAUCUUUUUGGUAAUUAGAAAUUAAUAAUAGUUUAUUAUUGUUUUUUAAUUUUAUUAUUAGGGUUUUUUCUUUAGGUUUUGUUUUUGUUUUUUUCUUUCUAAAAGUGAAUCGGGUCAAACUUUGUGACUAGGUCAAUCCAAGAGCCUUAAAGUUCAACAUCAGAAAUCCUAAUAUGGGUUGAUACAUAAAUGGAUCAAAAUAGAUUGAAAAAUAAUAUAAAAUCUUUCCAAUUUUGAUUAUAGAUGCAUUUGAAUAUACAAAGUUACAUAAGAAUCAGACCAGGUACAUAACUAUUACAUUUGCAUCAGAAACCCUAAAAAUUAAAAACAACAAUUACACCAAUUUUUUCCUAAAAUACAUCGAUCAAAUUAAAUUUUUAAACCUAAUUUCCAACCUAUAAAUAACCUAAGAAUAAUUUAGAGAAGAAAAGAAAAAAAUUGAAGAACCCUAAAGCUUCUGCUGCGAUCCACAAACCUCCACUAAAGCUCUUAAAAAUAUGAUACUUAGGGUUUUCACAUUGAAACCUUAAGUCAUCUGAGUUUGGCCUCCAUCACACCCCACAGACAAAAGAAGAGAAAAAGGGAAUCAGAAAGCAAAGAGAAACAAAGAGCAAAAGGAGAAUCAGAGAGAUUAUUUUUUUUUUACUUUACCAGAGAGAUCUUCGUCUUUGUAGGUUGAUGGACAUUAACCUCUACUUUUGUUUGUUGUUGCUUACUUGUGUUUAAAUUUUAUGUUGAUGCUCGCUUUUGGUUUAUGUUGUUUUGAUUGGAGUUAAGGUUCAAUUUAUGAAUUUAGGGUUUUGAAAUUUUUGUUUGAUUUAUUGUUUUUUAUGUUUGAUUGGGGAUUGAAAGACUAUGAUCUAUGGUUUGCUAUUGUUUCUAUGGUGUUUAGGUUUGAUUUGAAGAGUUUUUGGAAAAUUAGGGUUAGGGUUCAGAGGUUGGGGAUGAACAUUUCUAGGGUUCAUGCCUAUGGUUCUUCUGGAUUUUUAGUUUAGGGUUAAGGUUCUUGUAAGUAGGGUUAGGGUUCUUGGUAUUAAGGGUUUAUAGGCUUGGGACGAUGAUGGUUUGAAGUUUUCGAUUGAAGUUCAACCGAAAACCUGGGUUUAAAAAAUGUGGCUCUUGGGGCGGUGAAAGGUGGUUGAAUGGAGAGGUGAAGAGAGAGGGCGGAGAGUGGAGAGGUGGAGGAGAGAGAAGAGAUAACUAGAGAGAUAAGAGAAAUGAAGAAAUGAAAUUUUUUGAAGGGUUUAGGCUUUUAUACUCCCUCUCUUCGCUGCCAAAUCACAGACACGUGGCUCCGUGAUAGCCACUGAAUCUGCUGACUAUGACUCAUCUCAAUGCACACAAGCGUGCCAUAUUCCUUAGUUGACUAUCCAUCUGAGUUAUUGAUUUUAAUUAUCAUAGCCAGUAUGCAAAUCCAACGUAUAUCUUGAGAUUUACUUUGAUCUUAGUCAACCAGAUCCAACGCCUUGGAGAAGAGUCAACCUUUGACUCUGUCAUGGACUCUUGAUCAUCGCAUGGACUCAGAGUGUCUUGGGACUUGCCUUUAUAGCUUCUUGCACCCCUCAAAUUACUUUGCCCAUUGUUUUUAGCUAAUUAUACACCUAUGUUUUGUUUUUAGUUUAUCUUAUUUUUUAUUUUUUUUUAUUUUUCUAUUUUAAUAUUUAUUUCAUUUAGGAUUAGGAUUAAUUAGUUCAAUUAGAAUAGUUUAGGAUUAGUGAAAUUAAAAAAAAUAGUUAAAAAUUUAAUAAUUCAUAAGAUAAAAAAAAUUGUUUUAUAUUUAGUUUUAAAAAUUCAAAAGAAAAAACAUAAAUAAUAACCUUUCAUAUUUAUACCUUGUAAGAUUAAGUUUAGUUAGGUCUAUUUUUUUUCUUCUAAAUUCAUUUGAAAAUAAAUUUAUAAUUAAAUACUCAAAAAUGCAAAAGAACAUGUCCAUUUAUAUUCCAUUAGUUGGUUUAAUAAGUUUGUUUUAAUUUUAUUAUUAUGUUAAGUUUGGAUUCAUUUACCUUUUCUUAUUAUUAAUAUAGUAAAAAAGAAUACAAAAAUAAGCUUUAAUUAAAAAUAACAAAAUAAUAAUUAUGUAUAUAAUUUAUUUUAUAAAUUAAAAUAAAAUAUAUUUGUUGUAAAAUAAAGUGAUUGACUGGUGUCGCACCUUAUCAAUCAAUAAAUGAACUUAAAAUCAAUCCUCACGCACCCAAGUGAUAUUUUCUCUACCCUAGUGCAUUUAGACAUUUUUCUCGAAACAAACUUUUCUCCGCUCCAAUGCGUUGAGAUCUUUUCACAACUAAAAUCAAUAAAAAGAUAACAUUUUUCUAGACGAACUACGGUACUCUGAUUCUUCAUAAUAUUUGAGGAUACGUAGGCACAGAGUUGUGACACUCUAGCGAGUAUAAUAAUAAAAAAAAUAUUUUUUGUUCCUCUUCUUGAUUAAAUAUUUCUUAUAAAAUAAUAAAACAGUUCUCUUAUAAGAAAUUAAGCAAGCAUUCCCUUAGAUGAGUAUAUUAACCCUAGAACUAUUGGAGAAUCUCAUUGAGUACAAUGGAGGUGAGGGGUGUCUAACACCUUCUCUUCACUUAACCUACUUCCGAACCCAUAUUCGGUUGUGAUAACCAUCUUAUCCAUACCCUUUAGGGUUUUCUCAUUAUUUCUCAGUUCCUUAGGAACGAACAAAUAUGAUGACGACUAUGUGAUUUUUCCAUCCGCGAUAACUGGCGACUCUGCUGAGGAUUUUUCCCUAAAGAGAGUUAAUCUUACCCUCUAGUUCUAGGGCUUGCUUAUUUUUUAUGCUUGUUUAUUUUUGUUUAUUUAUUUUGAUUUUAUUUUUUUAUUUUUUUAUUCUUUCUGCUUUAUUUUGUUAUUAUAUAUAUAAAUGUCAUUAGUUGGAAUUUUCUAUUUGUCUGAAGUUAAAACCCAUGCUUGGAGGAAACCAUAAGUUAAGACGUAGGUAUGUAGUGCUAACUAGUGAGAUGUCACAUCUCUUAGGGGUACGAAGACUACACUCAAAAUAGAUCCACCAAAUUUAUCUUCAUAUUAGGGUUAUCCCCUCACUACGCUGAUGAUUUGGAUGUGGUCCAAGACUCCGGGAAUCGUUAUAUAGAACCCAUUUCACCCAUGGUGGUCUUAUGUUAUCAACCUGUAAGGAUCGAUACUGAGAUCUCGUCUAGAUGAAACUUAUCCCGAAGGGUUACCUUGGUAGGGCUAGUCCCUUAUCAUGGUAAAACUAUGGGUAUAUUUCAUGACUCUUGGACUUUUAUCCCAAAAAUCUAGAUCCUACAAGCGAGGGGAUUGGGUAGUAUAAACUUAGAACUAACUUGUCAUAGGAAGACUUCUUUAACUAGGUCUUGUUUUUCAUAUCACCUUACAUAUCCUUAAACUAGAAGACAAUUAUAUCAUCAAAAUAUUUUUUGCAUCCAAUUUGCAGGGAAUCUUAAUCAUUUAUUGUUAAGCGUUCUGAGAAAAAUGAAAUCCAACAGAAGAAAAACUCUCCAAAUUAAGGUAAGGGAACCAAAUACAGAGAACCUGGAGGCUUACAACUUGGGAUUGACUAGAAAUAGAAGAUACUCCAUCACCUAUAAGUAUGGAAGAGUCUUAGACCUUUUGAGUAUCCCAGUGCAAAAGAAUAUCAUAACAGCUUUGACACAAUUUUAUGACCCUGCAUUGAGAUGUUUUCAGUUCCAAAACUUUCAGAUAGCUCCUACUAUUGAAGAAUUCAGUAAAACCAUAGGGACUCCUAAGCCCAUAAGUGGUCCUUUCAAAAUGAUAGGAUAUAAUCUUAUAGUAAUAGAAAUGGCUAACUAUUUUGACAUUUGUACUGCUGAUUUGAAGGCCAACUUAAGGGUCUGUGGGGUUUUCAAAGGUUUUCCAAGAGAAUAUCUAGAAAAGAAGGCUACUAACUUUGCAACCGCCGUGAACUAGGAUUCCUUGGAUAAUAUCAUGAGCCUUAUCAUCUUUAGGUUGAUUUUUUUCCCCAAUGAAGAUAAUUUUGUGGCCUUAAUAUUGUCUUCAUUAGGAUUUUAUUAUAGGGUUUUAAGGUUUAGGUAUGUGGAACCUUCUCUGGUGGACACAUGUCUAAGAGGAAUGAUGUUAUCAACUCCCAAUUCACUUUGGUCCGACGACAUGGUUUGUUUUGCGAAGCUUUAGGCCUUUUACUUCUUCGAUUGUCCCUAUUGUUAGGCCUUUGUUGACUAAGUGUUGGCCUAAUCCGGAACAGUUAUGACACAUCAUCAAGAAUAGUGGUCAACCAAAAAAACUCUCCAAUGUUGUAAUAAAGAAGUCCAAAAAGGUGUUUUCUAAAAGUUAGUCAAAGAACUAAAAGUUAAUUUUUGUCAAAAUCUAUUAUAAUAGUUAUUUCUACAAAAAGACAUUUUAAAAAUUGAAGUUGUUGAAGUGUUACUUGCAUUCUACUAUAUUAUACACUACGCCAAAAAGGACUAUUAACAGCGCAUCUUAGACAGCGCUUUUAAAAGAAAGCGCUGUCUAAGGUUAAAAUUAAAAUGAAGCGCUGAAAAUGUUCCAAGAAAAUAAUGAAAGCGCUGUCAAGGGGGGGUUUAGACAGCGCUUUGAAAAGCGCUGUCUAAGACCCCCCUUAGACAGCGCUUUCAGAAAGCGUUUAAAUAUAGACCUUAGACAGCGCUUUUGAAAAAGCGCUGUCUAAAGUCUUUAAAUUUUAAAAAAAAAUAAACCAAAAGCGCUGUCUAAGGGGGGUUUAGAAAGCGCUUUUGGAAAGCGCUGUCUAAGGCCCCCUUAGAAAGCGCUUUCCCCAAAAGCGCUGUCUAAGGUCUAAUAAAAUAAAUUUCAGACUUUAGCGCUUUCGUUCUCUGUUCUUUUGUUUUGCCUCUUCACUCACCAGCAACUCUUCACUCACCUCACAGCGCUUCCGCCGCACUCGUAUUCCCUCAAUCUCCAGCAACCUUCCACUCUAAAAGACGACAGCACACAACAUCACGCUUCCACUCCAAAACACGAAAACCCUAUUUUCCUUCAACUUCCGAAAACCUUUUAUCCGCCGUCGAGGGUCCCUCCGCCGUCAAAAACAUUCGACCGCCGCACUCGCCUCUCACGGUACGUUCUGCUCUAAAAAUGUGCUUGUUUGAUUGUAAUGCAAUGAGUUCAAAUGUGCUUGUUUGGUGUUAGCAUAUGGCUGUCCUGUUUGAAUCUACACUCAAUGCUUGUGGUUUGUCCAUUGCCCUGUUGCAAUCUUGAUCAAAUUUUUACUAUCCACCACAACUGUCAUUGUUAAUGGUUUUGCUAUUGCCCUGUUGAAAUCUUGACCAAUAAAUGUUAUUGAAAUAUUUAGUUUAUUGACUGCACUUGUUAGGGUUAACCUCCAACCAGUAACUUGAGAAAACUCGUUGAAUUUCUGCAUAACCAACUUAAUAGAUGUUGGAUAUCCCUGGUAAAAAUUAGCAAUGCCUUGGAGGUUGGUUGCAGUGGAGCCAACUAAAUUGCUAUAGAACCUCAUAAUUUCACUUUCAAACUCUUCAUGCUUAGUUAAGAUAUUAGCAUACUCCAUAGUCAUGGAUAUAAUUACUUUGAUUUUGCUUACUUUUGAGAGAAGCAUAGAAGUACUUAUUAUACUAUCUCCCAGUUUGAGCCAGUCCACCUUCGAUCUUUGUUUCAACAUGGUUUUCAAUUAACUUAGAAAUUAUUGAAAUAGAGACUACAAUAUAAUCAAUUAAUAAAAGAAGAAAAUUUAAGAAUUCGCUUGAUUAAAUUAUGAAUUUGCACAAAUAUUUCACUAACAAUAAAAUAACAAAUAUUUCACUUUUAUCUUGUAUAUUAUGAUAAACUUUAAUCACAAAUAUCUUAUCUUCCUUUUAUCUUAUGUAUGUUAUGAUCCAUUUUAUAUGCCAUCAUAAUAUUAUCAUGAAUAUUUCUCCCUAAUACAAAGCGUGAUUGAAAAGGAGAGAUAGUUGGAGGAAUAAUAAUCUUCAACCUAUUACAACCACUUUGUUAAUAAUUUUAUACGACAUGGUUUAAUUGUUUACUUUAAUAAGUAGGAAACCAUGGAAAAACAUGGAUCUGUGCCGAUCGAAUGACCAAAGAGUACGAGAGUGGGUUUUGGAAUUCGUUAAGUAUGCUGUUCAACACGCUGAAAACCCUAGACGAAUGCAUUGUCCUUGCUUGCGUUGUUGUUAUAUUGGUAAGGUUGACGCACAUGGAUUGAAAUCGCAUUUGCUGAGGUAUGGAAUUGAUCAAAGUUAUCAGUGUUGGAUAUUUCAUGUGAGAAAAUUAACGAGAAUGUUGAAUCGAGUGGAAAAGUAGUACGACCUAUGCUUCAUACGACAAAGACACGGAAACAUACGAUUGUGAUCGAGUUGAAGAGAUUGUAGAAGCACUGGAAGAAGAUCUUCAUGAUUGUCCUGAAAUGUUUGAGAGGAUGGUAAGCGAUGCUGAGAAACCGUUGUACAAAGGUUGCACUAAAUUCUCAAGACUUUCUGCGGUAUUAAAGUUGUACAACUUAAAGGCGGGUAAUGAUGGUCGGAUAAAAGUUUCACAGAGUUGUUGGCCCUUAUGAGAGAAAUGCUACCGGAUGAUAAUGUUCUUCCUAAUCGAACCUAUGAGGCAAAAAAAAUGUUGUGCUCUAUGGCAUGAGCUAUGAUAAGAUACAUGCUUGUCCUAACGAUUGCAUUUUGUUUCGUAACGAAUAUGCAAUGUUAACUGAGUGCCCUAAAUGCGGUUUGUCUCGAUAUAGAAAAGAUAUCUCCGCAAAAGUCUUAUGGUAUUUUCCGAUAAUUCCGAGAUUUAGGCGCAUGUUUCGUAGUGAAACCGAUGCAAGACAUCUUACUUGGCAUGCAGAUGAAAGAAUUAUUGAUGGAAUGUAUCGGCAUCCGGCUGAUUCACCACAGUGGUCGAAGAUUGAUAAUGAUUAUCCUGAGUUUGGAUCAGAAGCAAGAAACCUUCGAUUGGCAUUAUCUACUGAUGGAAUGAACCCACAUGGUCUUCAAAGUAUCUCACAUACCACAUGGCCUGUGAUUCUUAUGAUUUAUAACCUACCUCCGUGGCUAUGUAUGAAGCGUAAGUACAUGAGUUUAUCUAUGUUAAUCUCUGGGCCAACAACCAGGGAAUGACAUUGACGUAUACUUGACACUCUGAUCGAAGAUUUAAGAUUUUGUGGGAGAACGGUGUGGAGUUUUAUGAUGGAUAUAGGAAAGAAAGUUCAAUUUGAGGGCGAUGUUGUUUGGCACAAUUAAUGAUUUUCCAGCAUACGGGAAUCUAUCUGGGUAUAGCAUUAAAGUCAACGUGCGUGUCCUGUUUGUGAAGACGGACCGAUACGAUUCGAUUGGAACUUUGCCAGAAGAAUGUGUUUCUCGGUCAUCGUAGAUUCUUACAUCUAAACAUCACUACCGUGGGUGAGAAAAGCAUUCAAUGGAGACACCGAACAUCGUAGAGCUCCACCGCAUUGUCAGGUGAACAAGUUUUUGAAAAGGUGAAAGAUGUGCGUACUGAGUUUGGCAGCCUUUUGCACAUAAGAUUGUGAAAGGUGGGUGGAAGAAAAGGUCGAUAUUUUUUUGAAUUGCCAUAUUGGAAGUCUUUGUACGUGAGACAUUUUCUCGAUGUUAUGCAUUAUUGAAAAAACGUAUUUGAAGUGUUAUCGGUACAUUACUCAAUAUAAAAGGCAGUCUAAGGAUGGCUUAAAGCAAGGGAGAAAAAAUGGGAAUGAGAACUGAAUUAGCACCCGUGAAGAAGGAAGACGAACAUAUCUACCCUGCUUGCUUUUACUUUAUCUAGAAAGGAGAAAAAAUUUGUGUAAGUCUCUGAGUGAAGUUAAGGUUCAGAAGGAUACUCAUCUGAUAUCAGAAGACUUGUUUCUAUGAAAGACCUCAAGUUGAAGAUUUGAAGACACAUGAUUGCCAUGUUAUAAUGGAACAUUUUUACCGAUAGGUAUACUAUCUUUGCAGAAAAGUAAGAAGUGCCAAACUAAAUUGUGUUUUUUCUUAGGUCAAUUUGUGUAAGGUGAUCGAUCCCGAGAUCUACAACACUACAAAGAGAUUGUAAUUACCUUGUGUGAGCUUGAAUGUAUUUUCUCCGUCUUUUUUUGACAUAAUGGUCAUUUAGUUGUUCAUCUUGUGAAAGAGACACAGUUGUGUGGACCAGCUUAUAUGAGAUGGAUGUACCCUGCUGAACGGUAUAUGAAAAUAUUAAAAGGGUACGUGAAAUCCCGAAGUCGACCGAGGGUUGUAUUGUUGAACGAUACAUUGUUGAAGAAGCUGUUGAGUUUUGUACUGAAUAUUUGUCUAACGUUCAAUCGAUUGGACUCCCCAGAGCUCAGAACAAUGAAAAAAAUUAAUUGGGAAUAAUAAUAUAAUAGGAUGACGGGAUCAAGUUCAUUUGUAUGUUCUGCCAAUAAUAAUGAGGUUGAGCCAUAUGUUGAAAUGCACAAGGAUGUACUCCGAAGGUUAAAUCCGAACAGAAAUGAAAAUUGGAUAGUAUAGAGCACAAUCAAAGUUUCAUACAAUGGUUGAAGGAUCAUAUUUAUUUGAAGCGCUCUUCAGAUCCUUCUUCGGUAACAGAAAGGUUGAGAUGUUUGGCAUAUGGUCCAAGUUGCAUGUGUUUUCUCAUAGCGCAUAUUCAAUUAAUGGAUACACAUUUAUACCAAAGAACAAGAUGUAAGAGUACUAUGCAAAAUAGUGGUGUCACCGUGCUAGCUGAAGCAAUGCAUAUAUCAAGUAUGAAGGACUUAACCCCAAAUAUGCAAAUUUGUCAUAUUUUGGAGUUAUUGAGCACAUUUGGGUGUUUGAUUACGAGAAGUUUGAUUCCCAUCUUUGGUUGCAAGUGGGAAUAGUAGUGCAUACGAAUGGAUAAGUCUGGAUUUUUGCAAGUUGUCUUACUAGGGUGGGGUACAAGAUGAACCUUUUAUUCUAGCAUCUCAAGCUAAACAAGUGUUCUAUGUGAAUGACCGAAGAGUACAAAUGGUCUAUAGUGCUUUUCUCUAACAAGUGACUGAUGAUAGCGGUGUCGAUCAAUGUGAUAUUGAUGUUGAGAUGAGUCAUGCAUUAGACGGAAUGAGUUGAAUAGAAAUAUGAAGUUGAGGAUCUUAUACCGGAUGAGUCAUAUAUAAGAACGAUCAUAAUGAGGGAAUUUGGAUCAAUUCAUCCGUACGCAUUGCUAAGAACAAGUGAUUAUAUUCCAACAAGAAAAGAAGAGAGUUAGUGACUUAGGUAAAUUAUCCAUGGUUUCUUUAUUUUUUGUUUUCAUUUGUUUGAUUAUAAGUUAUAUGGGUAAUGCAUGAUUUCAUUAUAUUUUUACUCAAUUGCUUUGAUUAUAAGUUAUAUCUGAUAUGCAUGAUUUCUUUAUUUUUUUGUUUCAAUUGUUUUGAUUUAAGUUAUAUGAAGUUUGAUAUCGCUGAAGAAUGGGAAGCUUUCAAAUCCAAAAGACAAGACCCGACUUUCAAAGAAUAAGUGCUACAAAUCGGAAAGAGCAUCAAGUCCCGCAUAUCCGUACCGAAAGGACGUGUCGGAUAUGGACGCUUAGAACAAUCCAUGGUAAUAUUUAUAAAUGCGAAAACAAAUUUGUUCAUUAUAUUAGUUUUAUCUGAUCAAAUUGUAUGACUUAAUGUGUAGCUGCAGAAGGAGGAAAGUUCAGAAACAUCUCUUCACUGCACAUUUUUUGUGGAAGGAAGCCCGUGUGGGCAAAUCUGGAGUUCCACAAAAGAAGUUUAAACGUAUACCAGAAAUGUGUAAGUAUAAUAUUUUCAUUAAUUGAAUAACAUUUUUAUACACAUAUUUGACAAGUAUACGGUAUUCAUCUGAUUUUUCAGGAGAGCUAUUCAGUCUCUAUCUCCCGAUGAUACUAAGAGCAUACUUAGUCGGGCAUUAGAUGUCCCUGAGUAUUCUGGUCGGGUGAGGGGUAAGGGAUUUGGCGUCACUCCGACCUCCUCAGUGUUAGAAAGGAAAGGCUCCUAGUAUCGGAGCUUCAUGCAAGAUUGGAAGCAUGCAAGCUGAGCUUGAUGCAUUGAGGAGAGAAAGAGAGACUAGCGCCUCACGGUAUACAGAGAGCUUCGGACAAAAACAGUAUCAACUGUACCUUUCAGCCGAACAUUCCAGAGGUAAUUACAUAUAAUUGUCUUAAAUUGAACUGUUUGCUUAAAUUAUGUAUUUGACAUAUAUACAUAACGAUUUCUUGUUAUUAUUGUUUAGGGCAUUUCCCAUUGUCAGCUGUAUUUGGUCGUCACCACACUAUCGGAUGGUUGGCACGGGAAAAGUGCAUAACGUUAGCGAGUAUUACUCCACACUAGAGAGCUCCCCUGCUGGAUGUUUGAAGUAUCAGUUGAUAUUGCAGUUGACCCGAAUGCAUUAUUACCAUAUCCUAGCGAUGAUUCGGAUGCAACAACGGUGCACGAAGCAAGGUUCGUUUGUUGCAUGGCCGACAACCUCAUAUGCGUAGGAUAUGAGUAUGCUUAAACUUAUGUUAACUUUAAUGGUAUAUUCAAAGUUUAAAAUUUAUGCUUAAAAUUUUACUUACAUAUUUUCCUUGAUUAUGUUAAAUAGACUCCCACAAAAUCCAAAUCAAGAAAAGAGGUAAAUACAAUUAUAUGACAUAUAUUCAUGGAAGUUGUUACAUUCUUAUUUGAUCUAACUAUUUAUUGACAUGUAGGUUCAAGAAAAUGAGGUUAGCAAUGCCUCCGCACAACAAAUAAAGGAGGUUAAGAACGCUCUCCGCACGGGUAAAAAGUUCUGGUGCUAAGAAGCCGUAGCUAGGAAAAACCUACACCAAGUAUAGGUCGUGCCUCAGGACAUUUAUAGAGAUGACCGAUAUACCGACCGGAGGUGUUCGGACUAUACAUAUGGAGGAAAGGAUUUCGGCUUUGCUCACGACCAAAUGAUUGGUAAUGAAGACUUCAUGCAAGUUUUUGGUCAUGAAGAAAUCGGCGUCAACGUUGUCAAUACAUAUAUUAGGUAAAUCCGGUCUACUUUGUUUUAUUAAUUCGGUUUACUUUAUGUUAAUCCGGUUUACUUUAUGUUUCAAAAGAGGUGUUAAUGAUGUUUUUAUAAUAGGUUUUUGUAUGACAAAAUGAUGCGCCCCAAUGAUUUGGACGAGUCAUUCGGAUUCUUAGCACCAGCGAGCAUCACUUAGGUGCAAUCUUAAAUAACCCGGAUUCCGUGACGGAGUACGUUCUCGGAUCCUCAUGACAAUAAAAAUGCGGAGAGUUGUUUUUUAUACCGUUAAUACCGGGUUAGCAUUUCAUUCUAAAUUCAUAUAUUAUAUAUUAUUUUCCAAGUUACCAUCUAACAUUUGCCUAAUCAUUACAGUGGACAUUGUUGUUGCUCGCAAUCAAUCCUAUCCGAGAAUUGUGUAUUAUCUUGACUCGUUAGGAAAUGAUUGGACAACAUACCCGGAUAUGAAGCGCCUAAUUGACACGUAAGUGAGAAUGUUCAAAAAUUUUCUUAGUUUAUGUUAAUUGUUCUAAUUGCUUCAUUUUUAUUUUAUUAGCAUCCUACAAGCUUUCGGGCCCAACGAGAUAUCCAAACCUCAAGGAGGGGCGCCAACCGCAUUACAUGGAUUAAAGUGGCGGUAUAUUUUUAAUUACCACAUUUUUAUAUAUUAGUGAUGACACUUGAUAAAACUUAGGUUUAUAAUCCAUUAUUUUUUUCAUGUAGUGUCCUCAACAACGUAAUCAAAUAGAUUGGCGGUAUUUCGUGUUGAGGUUUAUGCGGGAUACUCUUGCUUUGGGCCGAUUAGUGAUUCCCACCGAUGUAUGUAUUACUAACUUAUGAGUUAAUUUUAUAUUUACACAAUCUCAUAUAAUAAAUAGUUGGAAUUAAUUCAAAAUAUUUUUGCUUCAUAGUAGUACUUUGAGGAAUUCAAGUGUGCAUUUUAUACAAAGGAUAGUGGACGAAAUCAAAAGAGGAGGUGUCAAUUCAUGAUAGGCUCGGAGUUUUUCAUAAAUUUGUGUAAUUUUGUAGUAUACUUGUAAUAUAUGUAUGACUUGUAAAUGUGUACAUAAAUUGUAGUUAUGGUAAUGACUUGUAAAUGUGUACAUAAAUUUGUAUAUAUUUUGAUACAUUUAAGGCAAAAUUGGUUUGAAUUGGUAUAUAUAUAUUUGUUAGCCAAAAAUUGGUAGAAAAAAAGGCCAAAAUGGCAUGUAUAAAUGUGAUUCUGUCUGUCAAAAUCUGGUUGAAAACAGGUAGAAAUUCUGGUUUAUAAACCUGGAAAAAAUGUGGUUUAAAAACAAAGCUACAAAAAUUUUCGUAUACAUUAGACAGCGCUUUUGGAAAAAGCGCUGUCUAAGGGGGGCUUAGAAAGCGCUUUAGGCAAAAGCGCUGUCUAAGUAUACCUAAAAAAAUUAAAAUAGGGGGGCUUAGACAGCGCUUUUCAAAAGCGCUGUCUAAGCCCCCCUAUUUUAAUUUUUUAGGUAUACCUUAGACAGCGCUUUUCAAAAGCGCUGUCUAAGGUAUACCUAAAAAUUAAAAUAGGAGGGUCUUAGAAAGCGCUUUAGGCCAAAGCGCUGUCUAAGGGGGGGCUAGACAGCGCUUUUAAGAUUUCAAAAAGCGCUGUCUAAACCUUUAGCAGCGGAGGUUUAGACAGCGCUUUAAAGCGCUGUCUAAGGCUAAAAAAAGCGCUGUCUAAGGUCUUGUUUGGCGUAGUGAUAAACAGGGUCGAUAUUUCUCAUGUGCAGCAUGUGCUGCAGCACUGGGCCCCAGAUUUUGAGGGUCCAGUUAUUUUAUUUUUAAUUACACAUGUAAUAGAUUUUACACCUAAUUUUUAAAAAAACUAUUGUAAAAUCAUAAUUUAUUUUUAAGAAUAUGUUAUUUUAUAUCGUUUUUUACAAAAAUAGAUGUAAAAUCAUAAUUUUUAAAAUUGAUUUUUUUUAAUUUGAACCUGUUUUUUAAAUUAGAUCCGGGUUUCCCGAUUAAUUGGGUCAACCCUAAUUAACAAAAUCACUUAUCAGAUUAAUAUUGGUAACAAUUAAAAAUAACCUUAAGAAAUACAAUAUCAAAUAUUGAUAGCAAUUAAAAAUAACCUUAACGAAUAUAAUAUGAAAACUUGAAUGAUAAAUUUGUUUUAAAACGUAUUAGAAGUAACUUUAUUCCAUCAGCUAAAAAAUUGAUAUUAUAUUGAAAUUGUAUUUUUAUUCUGACUUUUUAUGUUAUUUAGAUAUGUCUUUUUUAUUGAUAUAUGUAUGGUUUUAUUUAUAAUUUAAAUAAAGAAUGAUACUUUAAAAAUGAUGAUAAUUUAUCAACAACACGAGUGAAAUCUUAAAAAUUGGGGUCUAUAAAUGGCACCAAGUGCAUUUCUUGUCAGAGUAAACUCAGUUCAUUGUUUGAAAUCUUGCCAGCCUCAUCUUUUGACAACAUUGAAGUCAAACAAAUUUAUACCUACCGUUAGCCAAGAUAUUAUUCUAUCGCCAGGCAAGUAUGAAACCGUAAAACAUAAACAACAAACUUAGUAGUAACCAUUAACCUAGGUUAGGUUUUGGUUAGAAGGGCGUUAUUUCCAUAAGAAUAAAAGAUAUUAAAAUAAAAUAUAAAUAGUUAAGACUUGUUUAUAUUUUUAAAGAUGACUUUUUAACUACUCAUAUAGAAAGAUAUGGGAAGUAUUAAUGUUGGAAAGCUAUAUAGUAUUGAAAUUCAAUAUUGUGGGAAGCAAUAGUAUUGAUGUUCCCACUUUGAAGUUUCACCAUUAGAAACCUUACAUUUGGAUUACAACUAACAAAAAUUAUUAUAGUGAUCCCACCCAUCAUUUGGUUGAAGAUUUUAAGGGUCAUCACUUUCGAGUAGCAAUAACAUUGGUGCCAUGGUACCACUAUGUGUAUCUCUUUAGAUUAGAAAUCAAAUAUAGCAUUGAAAUGUUGCUUGAUAAAAAUUAGUGUCCAAGAAUUUGGAUAAUGCUUAAUUUAUGAGUUUAUUGCGUGGCUUACAAGAUACCUUUGAGAUUCUCUUCAUUAAUGUCUAUGUAAAGCAAGUCAUGUUAUUUAGUGGUGGAAUUAGAGUACAAAGUAUCUUGGAUAAUCAAAUUUUAAUCAUAGUUGAUUAGAGAGAAAGUGCUUUUUAAAUUCAAUGGGAUGGAGGAGACGAGACUUCUAAUAUAUGAGAAUGUGUCUUUUAUACAGAGAUUCUAAAUCUAUGAUAACAAUACUUAGUGAGAGAUAGUUUCAUCUAUAUUAUUUUUCAACUUUAUAAAAUUAAUGCUAAGAAAGUUAUUUUAUACAAAAACAAGAAAUGAUAGAUAUGAAGAUGUGAAGUUGACUCUAGCGGCGGCAAGUGUAUUAUGGUAUGGUGGAGAGAGAUAUACCUGUAAGAUUAGUACUUCAACACAUACGUAAGUGAGAUGUUGAAAAAGUGAUGAUGUAAGUUAUGAUGAGGACAUAUGUGUAAUCAACAUCAAACAAUCUUUAAAUAAAUGGGAUAGUUAGAACUGUCUUGUGCUCUUCGUCGCGAGACGUGUGAGACUAUUUAAUUAAUUCUAAUUGUGGAUGAUCAUCGGAAGAAAAAGAUUAAGCGAUCACAUCUUAAUCAAGGUAGCACCUAAUCUUUUUUAGCACCCUGUGAAUACAUUUUGGAUUGGAUUCUCCCAUGAUUUGACAUCUAUGUUUUUUGGGCCUACGACCAACAUAACACAAAAGCUUAAACUCAAUUGGUAUAAAUCAUUUUGACAUGAAAGAAGUCUUCCGAUAUAGCAGUGCAUUAUCAACAACAUGAAUCCUUAAAGAAAUUUAAAGUCAAUAGACAAAGGUUGACAACUUAUUUCACAAAAAAGUGACGAGUUCGUUACUUCAAUAUCACAACUUCAUAUCUUUAAGUCUCUUUGUUUGAUUAAACUUUCUCUAUCACAUUCAACUAGAAUUAAAAAAGUUUGUCUCAUGAUAUUUGAAAUAUUUUUUUAUUUAUUUAAAUGGCAUUAUCAAGAAUCAUUUGAAAAGUUGUCAUCAUCAAAAUCAUUUGAUAAUACAUAUGCACCGCAUAAAACCACAAUAAUAACAUAAACAUUAAAUUAAGGGAUAGAGGUAAUUUUGUCCUGCCAUUUGGACGAGUUCUAAUUUUCCCUCGAACUUUAAUUUGCAAUUUCACAUUUGUAAUAUAAGACAAUUUAAUUUUCCACAUAAUUGUUCAAAUUAGAUGAUGUGGCAUGAGAAAAAAAAUCUCCCAAAAUAACAAUGGAAAAAAUAGAACUCGAUUAAAAUAAAUUUCUUAAAUAACAUAUAUAUAUAUAUAUUUAAUAAUAUAAUAUAUAUAUAUAUUAUAUAUAUAUAUAUAUAUAUAUAUAUAUAUAUAUAUAAUAACGUCAGUUAAUAACCAUCUUAAUAUAUUUAAAAAUAAAAAUAAAAACAUUAGCAACGACUAUAAUUGUCACAAUUUUACUUUGUAGAUAGUUUGAGACUAUCACAACUAUUUGCUAUAGAUAGAGAGAGAGAAGAUAAUUAUCGAGACAGAUAUUUACAGCAGUUGAGGAGUCACUGCAGUAAUGAUUCUUUAACGGUUAAAACUGAUGCAAAUAUAUUUUGAAAUCAACUUUUUUUAGUGUAUAAUAUGAUUAUAUGAACUUCAUUGGAACUAUUUUGUGAUCGAAUUCUCAUUCAUAAUAACUAUUUUUGUGACAGUGUUGAUUAACAAGAAAACCAGAAAGUAAAAGAAAAAGAGAGAAUGGAAGAGAGAGAAUAAUCAAAGUGAUUUAAAACUAGAUUUUUUAUUCAAUUAUACAUUAGGGAACAAUGUUUACAACUAAAUCUCAACCACACAACUUUCUCUCUUUGAUUAGCAUUAUCAUAGAUUGAUGGAGAAGUGAGAACUAGUAUGUUAUUUAUAAGAAAACUAAAUUCUAGCUUUCAACUAACAUACUAAAACAAUUGGUCCAACAGACUGACCCAAUUAGAUAUGCUAACUUAAACAACAAGCUAACAUAUACAACUUCAUGCAAGAACAAACUUCGACUAUGACAUGCACAUCUUCGACUGUUGUCGAACAACGAAGCUAACCUUGUUGCGGCUAGAGUUCAAUCUAAAUACCACAUAUAUCCAUCUUAGAAUAAACUUUACACUUACAAGGGAACAAACUAGCUUUUAUCAUGCAGUUUUAUCAACUGCAUAUAGUGGAAGAACUUGAUACUCGACAAUAUAUUGGUGAUCAUAUCAGCAGCAUUGUCAUUAGUCAAAACCUUCAGCACUUGGGCUUCUCCAAGCUCAAUAAUCUCUCUGAUAAAAUGUUGUCUCACAUCGAUGUGCUUGGUUUUCUCAUUAUAGGUUAAAUUCUUCAACAGAUGUAUGACAUUUUGACUAUCACAUUUAAUAGUGAUAACUUGACCUUAAAGUUUCAGCUCCUUAGCAAAACCUUUAAGCCACAAUGUUUCUUUCACAGCUUCAGUGAUGGCAAUAUACUUUACUUCAGUGGUUGAUAAGGAAACAUCAUUCUGAAGUGUUGCUUUCCAACUGAUUGUUGUGCCAAACAUAGUGAACACAUAUCUAGAAACAGAUUUUCUGGAAUCCAUACAACCUGCAUAAUC